GAUCCGUCUCUCCGUCGUCCAUCGCCCCGCCGGCCGGCCGGUGCUUAUUAAUUAACUUUAGUUUACUUUCCAUCCUCGAGUGACCGAAGCUACUGCAUGGUGCGUAGUACGUGUUCAAUAAAAUGCCCGAGUUCGUGGGGGUUGGGCCGUCUGGCCGGUUGGCACUAGCUAGAGAGAGAUUAAUAUACUCUGUUGUUCCGGUUGUACGUGCUUUAAUGCUUGUAUACCAGAAUUUUGAGUUGUUGUGUCCUUUGUGACACUCCUUCCAUUUCUUUUUACUCUGUCUGUAAGUUUUGUUUAAAGUCAAAUUCGUAAAGUCUGAUCAAGUUUAUAUUUAGAAAAAUAACAAUAUCUAACUAAAACACUAAAGAUAUACAAUAUGAAAGUUAAAUCUAUGAUACAUCGAAUGACAUUGAUUUGGUAGUGUGAAUGUUGACAACUUUUCUUACAAAUUUGAUCUAACUUUAGGAAGUUUAACUUAAGACAAAUCUUAUAUCAUACUAUCUGGAGUAAAAACAGGAACCCUGAUAUCUAGCGAUCGGCCAAGAGGGAGAGAGACCGAUCAAAGCUUUAGUUCGCCACAAGGACCCUAAUAUCUCGUGCAGACACAUAUAUGUGCUUCUCAAAAAGAAAAGAAAAAGAUAGAAAAAUAAAACUUGCUUCCGCCUAUGGGUUUUUCCGUGAAAAAUAGUUUUUUUUUGCGGGGAUCCGUGAAAAAUAGUUUGUCUUAAGUUUGACUUAAGACAAAUUUUAUAUCAUACUAUCUGGACUAAAAACAGUAACCCUAAUAUCUAGCGAUCCGCUGAGAGGGAGAGAGACCGAUCAAUCGUUUUAGUUCNNNNNNNNNNNNNNNNNNNNNNNNNNNNNNNNNNNNNNNNNNNNNNNNNNNNNNNNNNNNNNNNNNNNNNNNNNNNNNNNNNNNNNNNNNNNNNNNNNNNNNNNNNNNNNNNNNNNNNNNNNNNNNNNNNNNNNNNNNNNNNNNNNNNNNNNNNNNNNNNNNNNNNNNNNNNNNNNNNNNNNNNNNNNNNNNNNNNNNNNNNNNNNNNNNNNNNNNNNNNNNNNNNNNNNNNNNNNNNNNNNNNNNNNNNNNNNNNNNNNNNNNNNNNNNNNNNNNNNNNNNNNNNNNNNNNNNNNNNNNNNNNNNNNNNNNNNNNNNNNNNNNNNNNNNNNNNNNNNNNNNNNNNNNNNAGACACAUAUAUGUGCUUCUCAAAAAGAAAAGAAAAGGAUAGAAAAAUAAAACUUGCUUCCGCCUAUGGGUUUUUCCGUGAAAAAUAGUUUGUCUUAAGUUUGACUUAAGACAAAUUUUAUAUCAUACUAUCUGGACUAAAAACAGGAACCCUAAUAUCUAGCGAUCCGCUGAGAGGGAGAGAGACCGAUCAAUCGUUUUAGUUCGCCAAGGACCCUAAUAUCUCGUGCAGACACAUAUAUGUGCUUCUCAAAAAGGAAAAAAAGUAGAAAAAUAGAACUUGCUUCCGCCUAUGGGUUUUUUUUCGUGAAAAAUAGUUUGUCAAAAUCUAUUGACAUGCGAUCUAGUUUCAAAGAUUCAAUGUUAGAAAUCCAACACGUGAAAACAUAUCAAAUAUAAAUGUGACGUUUGCAAGGGGUACCCUUCAAAAGUAAUUUCACUCCCUCUCCCUCUCUUUGUUUUUCUUAGAAAUACCUGUAACUUUAUUCAUACUCAUAACAAUUGCAGGUACACUGAUUUGGACCUAACAUUAAAAAAAAAUACAAAGUAACUCCUAUGACUAAGAAUUAUAAUGAAAUCUCUUGAAAACACAUUGUUCACGACAUCAAUCUCUGCUCAAAGAAAUACUCCAAAGAUUUCGGUAAGAGGCUGCAAUUGGACUGGACCAACAAUGUUGUCACUCCUUCAUCCACAGGAACAUUACCACUAAUGGUUUUUGAAAGCGCCUUGAGUCGCCCACCAAAAAAGAUGGGAAGCCUUGAUCGAUGUACGUACUUGGCCAGAGAUGAUCCCCUAUAAGUGCAGGCCGAUGAAUCACUAUAUCUUCACAUGGUGUCGAUUAAGGUUUUCACCUUCACAAAAAAUCAGACCAACAACAUAAACUCAUCAGAUCUGAAUAAUCACAUCUGUGAGGACAAAAAACUCUCUAAUCUCAUGGCACCGCCAAAAGAACAAGAGAAAAUUUAUUCUCACAAAACUAUAAUGAUCACUAGACGAUGGCAAAAGACAUGGAGGUCUUGAAGAUCCCAGGUCCCCCCACCUCUCAGCGCCAAGAUGGCGGCCGGAGGCGAGGGGACCUAAAUUUCUCAAACAACGGUGGCGGCCGGCCGGUAGAACUACUAUACAAGUGUACAACGCUAAUCUCUCUCUAUCUGGUAGGAGAGAGCCCAAUGCCUUCUCUCUCUAAAAACAGAAGGAGAGCCCAACACAUAGCAACUAAGGUGUUCUCUACUCGGGGCAAACAAUGGGAACCCCUAUAUGUCGCUUGUUGCAUCCAGUAGUAGCGGGGUGCAUAGGGUGAUCCAACCGGGCCGACCUACUAGCGGCUACCGUAGCAUGGUGUCGUAGCAUAGUUGCAUGUGGUUGAAUUACAUGAACAUUUUUUUAAAAACACAUAUAAAAAAAUUCGAAGUGUUUUUGAGAGCACAAACAAUAUUUGAUUUUUUUCUAAAAAAAUCAAAUUCCGAAUGUGUUUGAACAUUUUCUUAAAAACAUGGAAAAAAAUUAAAAAGCAGAUUUUUGGAAAAAUGAGCAUUUAAAAAAAUAAAAAACUUAAACGAUUAAGAACAUUUUUUGAAAUUCGAUACAUAUUUUAAAACCUUGAUUUUUUUAGAAAAACGUGAACACUUUUUAAAAUUGACGAAUAUCUUUUGAAACUUUUGAAAAAGUUGAAGAUUUUUAAUUUUUCGAUUUUCUAAAAUAAAAUUCUGAAGAUAUUUUAAAAAAUGAAUAUUUUUAAAAUUCUAAGUGACAUUUGAUGAUUUUCAACAUUUUUCGAAAUUUUGAAUUUAUGAUAAAAUGAAAAGAAAAGAAAAACGGAAAACCAGUAAAAGAAACCAACCAACAAAACAGGUCCGGAAACCCUAUAGAAGGCUCCCCAAAACGGAAGAAAACCUACAGAAAGCACUACAGUAAAACUAGCUAAUGCGCGGCCCUGUUCGUCGCUAGCUCGGUCGUCUAGCGUUUGGUCGGCUCUUUGAAUACGGAAUUCGGCAAACAGCAGUAGGCCGGCAUCGAUGCCAUGAAUGUUACACUUGUCCGUGCAUGUAGCUGACCGGUCCUGGUGCGAUCACGGGCUCGCGUCCUAUGCCGCAUUGAAGCCAUACACUGCGCGGCCUCCUGCGACGCCACGCUACGAGCAUUGAUUGUACUGCGCUCCCGCGCCCCGAGGCGGCCUGCCCUGCCACCGGCCAGCUGCGCCACGCUCCCCUUCCCUUCACCUUCAGCUCGCUGCCGCUGGCUCUACUUCACAGCAUCGCCACCUUCAUUUGUGAGCGCCCUGCUUCGCCUGCAUCGCCACUCACCAGUUCCUUUGAGGUGAAAGCGCUCCGGCUGGUGGCUAGCGAGAUGGCCGGGGGAAGAGGCGGUGCAAGGCGAGGCGCCGUCGCCGUCGCCGCCGCGGCGCUCGCCGUCGCGUGCUGCUGCGUGGGCGUCGCCAGCGCGGCCACCUACUACGUCGGCGACGUCGGCGGCUGGUCCCUCAGCAGCGGGAGCUGGCCCAACGGGAAGCAGUUCCGUGCCGGCGACGUCCUCGGUAAGUGAAAACCUAACGCACACAUCUUGCGUUCUGGUCUGCGCCGAAGGUUUCUGACGGUUCUCUUCUUUCCUGGGCGCGGUCGCGCAGUGUUCAAGUACAACCCGCUGAUGCACAACGUGGUGGCGGUGGGCGAGGACGGGUACAACGGGUGCACCACGCCGGCGGGGUCGAGGACCUACGAGUCCGGCAACGACGCCGUCACGCUGGCCAGGGGCGCCAACCGCUUCAUGUGCACCCGCUUCUACCACUGCAACUUCGGGAUGAAGAUGGUCGUCAACGCCGCCUGACCGCCUGCACCGCCAUGUUUAUCAAGCUCAAGAAAAGUUAGGCUCUCCUCUGUUGCAUUUGGUCGCCAUGAGGGUUGGUUUGGUUUGCAGUUCUAGCUAGCUGUGGGUGAUAAUGGGACUUUGUGCGAGUGUUUGACGACUAUCUUCGUGUGCUGUGUUGACUCUGACGGAUUGUGUUCGUUCUUAUUAUUUGUGAUGAAUGGGAAGUUCAAGUUCAUGUCUCUGCCUACGACGACGACAAUUUUUUCCUCCCUUUUAUGCAUUUUCAGUGACUCGUUUAGUCGUCGUGUUCAUCAGAAAGCACGCAGUGGUUGGUGAUCCACCGCUAGACCUGAAAAUGUGAUGCACACUCUGGCCGGCUGGUUGCAGUUCUACACUGCUGGAUGAUUUUGCUGAUGUAAACGGCUGAACCGGCAAUGAGAAAGACCAAAUUAAAAGUCAGUUCUAACUCCGCUACCUGCUGCACAUCUGAAGAACAAGGAUAUCAGACAAUAUGACUAAACAGCGGAUGCAGAGUAGUCUUCCAUUUCUAUGAUUUAUUACGAACAGCUCGGUCGAUCGUUCACUCACUUUCCAGUUUUCCACGCCCUGAACUACCUGCCAGCGAUUUCCUUUUCUGCAUGUCAAAUUUAAUCAUACGUUUAAUAGUGGUAAAAGUAUACAAUGACAACCAAAAAACACCGCAUGUUCAAUAAAUAUUUACAUCCAAUCGAUCUCAAAGAUUGUCACUUUGGAUGUUCAUGCCAAUGACCUUUUUCUUGGCAAAGACCUCAUUCUUGGUUGAUUUGACAUCCUCCGUUUGCGCGAAGCGCUUCAAUAUGCUCAUAAGUAGGCUUGAACAAUCUGCUCCGCAUCGGACUCCAAGUCCGACGUCUUCACGAACAACAUUUUGUAGUCCUCCGAAACAGCCUUGAUCUCAUCGCCUCAUUGUCCCGCUUCGAUGAGGCAUUGCGGUAAACGAUGACCGGGCACCAACGCCAACGGUCCAUGGUCGGCAUCCGCGACUAGACAAGCCCCGGCGACUGCAACACCGUGAAGACAUAGUUAGUGUUGAGGUUGAUGGUGAACGGGACUCGAUGGCCGAAGGUGAGAGAGGAUGAGCAUUGUUGCGGUGAUUGUUGAUGACCGAGGUGCUGGGAGGCCUAGUAGUAGGGCGUCUAUAGUUGGGACGACUGCACCGUCUAUUGCCCGGGUGGCACAAGGGUGGUGGUGUGCUUUGUUGGGCGAGGUUCGCGUUGGUCAGUCGUCGACGCGCGCCUGCCUGCUUCUUUGCUGUGUGGCGGUGGGCGUUGCGUUCCGGGGACAUGGCCUUGCGGGCGGCCACCACGUUCGAGUCCUCGGACUCCGGCGGGACGACGAGCGUCUUCAUCGGGUUCUCUUGCAAUGGCUCCAUGGCGAGGGUGGAACAGACUGAAACGGUGGGGAAGUGGCGAUCAAGGCGGAGGUUGUGGGAAAGGACAUGCUUUGGCGUCGAAACAAUGGUAGAAAUAUCCAAGUGUGUGGGCUCCGGGUGGGCCGGGCGUGUCGGAUUCUGAUGUGACGCAGGUCCGAAUGCUCGAAAACCCCCUUGCGUUUGGUUCCACUUCUAGACAUUUUUUAUGAUCGUCUUUAGAUGGCAAAAAUAUUCAAACCAUCAGAUCCAAACAUCUAGAGCGAUUUGAUGAUCUACAUUGAAGUUGCCCUUACGUUUUUAUAUAAGUAGUAGGUGAUAAGGGGAUUGUGUGUGUAAGAGAGAGAUUCAGCUUUCAAUGAUAUAAUUUUCAUAUUGUGCAAUGUCAUGUACUAUUAAUCUUGUCAAUAGUCAAAGGCGGUCUUAAAAAAUACAUUAGGCCCUAUAUAGAUGGAAGGAGGGAGUAUCUGCAUGUCAGGCAAAAUGUGUUUGUUCUUAUUAUUUAAUUUUAUUUUAUUUUGCUAAUACUAUGUUCUUAGUAUUUCUGGUGAUGGUAAGUUCAUGCCUCUCUCCUACGAUGACGAUGAUCCCUUCCUUUUAAGCAUUUUCAGUGACCCAUCUUAGUCCUCGUGUUCAUUGGAAAGCACACUUUUUACAAAAAGGAUCCACAUCUAUUAUCAGAAUUCAUAAAAAUACAAAGCAUCUCAAACAUAAUGAAAAUUAUAACAAGAUUUCGAGACCAUCGAAUGACCACUACCGUCGACGGAACGAGCCACCGACGCGACUUGUCACCGCUCUUCUGUUGAGGCCGGCUUGACCUUGUUGAUGACCUCUUGGUUAUUCAGACCUGGAGAUGUGAUGCACUCCUAGGAGCAUUUACACCCGGACGCCUCAAAUCCGCCUCAAACGCUCGGGCGAACGUUCCGAUCACUAACCGGCCAUAAAAAUGCGACACAGACGGCCUCCUCAAACGGGCCUUAAACGCAUGGGUUGAUCGGCCCCCCUCAUAUCCAGCCUGAAUAUGGGGCAGAUAAGGAGCGCCCGGGCGCGUUUGUCACGUCGGACUGACGUUGGGGUCGCACAGGAAAACACUCCGAGAGCGGGCAGACCGAAGCUCGUCUCCUCCAUUGGACCGAUGGCGUCGCGUGGCGACGCUCUGGAGGGCUACUCAUAUCUAACGUCGGAGUGCUGGCUGCAGCUCCUUGAGCAGAUCAGGGCAAGGUGAGAAGCUCGGAUCGUCGUGGGGCUACCUCCGGAUGCAGUGGAUCCGAAGGAGGACUUGGAGGAGAAGGAUGAGGUUGAGGAGGAGUGCGAGCAGGAUGUGGGGGACACGGGUCUGCCAGACCAUCCUCGAUUCCCUUUGCUCGGAGUCGGAUGCCAAAUGCCGUCGUCGGUAUGAGAUGGAGGUGGAGCACGCCAUGGAGAAGGGGGAGAUGCUCGCUUACAUGGAUGAGGUCGAGGAGGAGAAGGGGGAGAUGCUCGCCUACAUAGGAUGAGAGCACGCACGUCGAUGAUACCAAUGGCGACGUCCAGGGAGACGUCACGCGUGACGCCAGGUAAAGCUCUCUCCAGGUCAAAUCGAACAUGAAAAUUCUAAAAACAAUUAAACGCGUUCAUUCCAAAUUAUAGUAAGCACUCAAUACUUACUAUCUAUCGUCUGGAAAUAUUUUUAUCCAAAAAAGGCGUCUGGAAUAUCUCCAAUGCCUCGCUGGAAAAAGUUAGGGACAGAACGGGGAAAAAGGGAAAGUAAUUAGGAGUACGGGCUCGCUGGCCCAUUGGGUGGGUGGCGUGGCCGAGAUGGGCCCGAGGGAGCGAAUCGGUCGAGGCUUUCUUGGGCCGGAGGGCAGGAACUUAUUCUGAGACCUCUCUAGAGCCCUCCACUCUCUCUCUAUAAGACAGACCUCCGCUCCAUCCCCAAUUCCCAUCCAAUCUCGUUUCCAAGGAAGGAAGGAAGAAAAUCCAGAGAAACUCCAGAGAAGAAGAAGAAGAAGGUCGACGACGAUGGCGGUGUUGGUGGAGCUGACCAAGGAGUACGGCUACGUGGUGCUCACCGUGGUGGCCUACGCCUUCCUCAACUUCUGGAUGAGCUUCCAGGUCGGCGCCGCCCGCAAGAAGUACGAUUCCCCGCCGCCUCUGCCCCGCGCUCUGCUUCUUGAUCUGAUUCUUGGAGAGUUUCAUGGAGCUUCGGCGAUCCUGCCGCUUGUUUCAGGUACAAGGUGUUCUACCCCACGCUGUACGCCAUCGAGUCGGAGAACAAGGACGCCAAGCGCUUCAACUGCGUCCAGGUCCGCCGCCGCCGGCCAGAUUCCCUCCCUGCCCUGCUCUGUCCUGCUGAUUUCGUGUGUGCUAUUUGAGCGAGUUGACUGACUGAAUUCUUGUGGGUUUGUGCUGUGGGAUUGCAGAGGGGGCACCAGAACUCGCUGGAGAUGAUGCCGCUCUUCUUCGUCACGGUGCUGCUCGGUGGCCUGCAGCACCCGGUGGUCGCCGCCGCGCUGGGGGUCCUCUACACAGUCGCCAGGUUCUUCUACUUCAAGGGCUACGCCACCGGCGUCCCGGACAACCGCCUCAAGCUUGGGUACGUUUGCCUUUUGCUCUGCUCAGCGAUGAACAACUCUGCAGAUGAUUCAGAUGAUAAUGGCAUCCAAAUCAAAUCCUUGGGGAGAGAUCCCCUUGAUUUCCAGCAUGUUUUACUGCUAGUUUCUUAGGAAAUUCUCAGUCCUAGGAAUUACUAUACUACAAGCCAUUUGAUUUCAUUAAUAGGAUGGCACAGUAUUAGUCAACCACACUCAACUCAUUAAUAAGGUGAGCGGGCAGAGCAGGUCUCAACUUGGUAUUGCUCCACUAACCAAGCCAUGUCAAAGGUGUGCUCAUAAUGAGCGGGGCUCCAUUGAUUCUCACCGACGACCUGGAGUGGCUUUGAAGUGUUUCUUCAACCUCCUGCAUACGCACAGAGAGAUGCCUUUUGUCUCCAAUUCUUCAUUCCCAAUUUUGGCUGAGGCCCCAGCAGCUAACAGCUAGCUAGCACCCCACUACUGCUUGCCUGCACUGCACGUCUUUUUUCUGAAUUGACACGGGCCAUUGCUGCAGGUGAAGGAAGGCCUUGGUUGGUAGGUGAGAUUCAUUCACAUUGCAUUGCAAAGUAGGACAUUGUUAAUUGGAUGUGAUGCUGCAAUCCUACCUAAGCUUCUCAGGGUCAAAAAUAAAUAAAAUCCUACCUAAGCUUCUGUCCUAUGUCAACCACCCCGGUUUUAGGUUUUAUAAACGAUAACGAGGAGCAAAGUCGUGAGCUCUGGAUUGAGUAUGAAAAAUGGUUGACUUGAACCAAAUUUGCAGCUUAUGACGCCGAAUAACGCAUCGAUGAGCCUGAAUUGCAUUAGCAUCGACGAAUUUCAUAUCCUUGUUGUCCAUGUUUAAGUCAUCCUCUUAUAGAAGUGAUUCUGAUCUUGGUGAUUUCCUUUUCGCUUUGGUGAACUCUGCAGGGGGCUCAACUUCUUGGCGAUCAUCGGGCUGAUCCUCUGCACGGCGUCCUUCGGCAUCAACCUUGUCAUCAGGGAGGCGAUCUGAGGCUCCGGACUGAUGUGCCUGACUUGAUAGGCGUUUGUGACUCGAGUCAUUUAGACAUGGCGGUGGUGUCUUUUAUAGUGUCCAAAAAUGUGUGUGCCUCUGUUUUACUCUCACAGAAUAAAGCUAGAUGGAGACGGUUUGUAACAUCGAGGUUUUGUAGCUUUUGCAGCACAGUUUUAAAUAUGGAGGUGAAUCUCCUUCCAAUUUCCUUGCCUGACGUCUCCGGGACAUGAUAAUGUUCGCUGUUAUGUCCGAAGAAUUUUAACGUUAUGUAAUGUUGUAUGCGCCUGUGUCUGAUACAAUCAUAAGCUGGAGACGCAAUCUUAGGCCUCCAGCGUGAUACAAUCAUAAGCUGGAGAUGCAAUCUUAGGCGUCCAGUGUGUGUCAGAAGAGAAGUUUUGCUUCCCUCGUACAGGACAUCUAGAGGAAACAAAGUGGAGUAGAUUUGUCAAUUGUCACGCCAUGGCCAUACAGAAGUUUUGCUUCCCUCGUACAGGACAUGUAGAGGAAACAAAGUAGAUUUGUCAAUUGUCACGCCAUGGCCAUCGAAGAAACAGCUGUACUCCCUCUGGUAUCUUUUUACUCUGCUGUAUAUAAGAUUCGUCUCAAGUCAAACUUCAUAAAGUUCGACCAAAUUUAUAUUGAAAAAUAUCAACAUCUACUACAAUACUAAACAUGUAUAAUAUGAAAAUUAAUUCCUUGAUGCACCUAAUGAUAUUGGUUUGAUUCGUCUCAAGUCAAACUUCAUAAAGUUCGACCAAGUUUAUAUUGAAAAAUAUCAACAUCUACUACAAUACUAAACAUGUAUAAUAUGAAAAUUAAUUCCUUGAUGCACCUAAUGAUAUUGGUUUGAUAUUAUGAAUGUUAUCCCGCAAAAAAAGAUAUUAUGAAUGUUAGUAAAUUUUCCUAUAAUCUUGGUCAUACUUCGAUCAAAACUUUAUAAAGUUUGAUCUAAGACCAAAUUUAUAUGCAGAGUUAAAAAACAGAGGAAGUAUUUAACUUGAUUUUCUUGCACCUGUCAAGAGUUAUACAUGAGGCUGUCUGUGCCGUUUCUAAAUUCCAAAAGGAAAAGUAAUUUUCCAAAAUCGCUAUUAUUUUGUGACUUGUGCUCAGCUAAAGUAUACGCUAUACGGUCUGGUACAAGAAAAAACAUCGAUUGUGUAUAACUACUGCCUAUUCUCCUCUAACAUGAGUGAAUCUCCUCUAGGAUGGGGUUGCCCUUCUGCUUUUUUUUUUGAGGUCACAUGCUUGUGUGCCUCUUCGUACGGCAACAGGUCGUCUUCCUCCUUGGUUCCGGCCUGGUGCCGCCCUUCUGCUCGAUCCAUGCUUGUGCGCCCCAUCAUAUGGCGAGACAUCGAAUUCGACAUCCUUAUCGUCAUCGUCAUUCUUCGUGUAUCCCUUCGGGGCUGGUGAGGCCCUUCUGCUCGACAAUAGCUUGUCUCCCCCCUCGUAUGGCAAGGCACCGUUGUCGUCGCCAUGGUUCCUACUCUUCACAUACAAAUAUACUAUCUUGGGCAUCUUUUAUGAUUGUGAAUACUUAUUAAUUAUUUUCAAACUUGAUCAAAUAAGUUGAAGUUGAAGAAGAAAGACAACGUAAUGAGUUAUGUUUGGUUAUAUUUGCAUACAAAUUAUAUUGUUAUGAAUCCUCCAACAUGUGGUGCUUGCCUAUAAUAUUUUGCUAGCCAAAAACUAUGUACUAAGCAGAAAUACUGCUUGUGCAUCCAAAAUCCUUGAGCCAAAUUUCUUCUAUGAGUGUCCAUCAUACCUAUCUAUAUAUGGUAUUUCACUGUCAUUCCAAGUAAAUUUGCAUGUGUCACCUCUAAAAUCUUCAAAUGAACAUUUGUUUUGUGUACCCGAACCGCUCAUGGAGCGAUAGGGUAGUCAAUAUCUUCCAUGCUAAGUGUGUUUUACUCAUCGACGAGAGUUUAUUCACUCGUCAAAUUUGAGGGAGGCUAGUUAAAAGGAGCACAUUCUUGAAUUAUUUAUGAAAAUACCCCCCCCCCUAGAAAGUUGAAAGUUGGCAAGCAUAUGUGGAUUCGGCUAGCCAUGGUUUGUGUUAGCAUGGUGGAGGGGAAAUAAAAAAAAUUGCAUGGGAACCGCCAUUAAUGUGUUUAACAUGAAAGAUAUUGAAAACUUUGUCGUUAAACCGUUGACAGGAAAACUACACCUCUCAAAUGAAACUAUCUCGUUUUAAGCAAUGAACUCUAGCACAUUAGCAAAUCCAUGCUUCCCUCUGCGAAAGACAUAUCUAUUUACUUUUCAUGUUGAGUCAACUUCUUAUUCCAACCUCAGUUAUUCUCCACUUGGCAAACAUUGUGUGGUGUGAAAGAUCCAGGCACAUAUAUCCAGUCAAAUAUAUUUGAUCAUGAAUUAUUUUUGUUGGCAAUUAUCUCGAUGAUAAGUAAGUUGGGAGACGAAACAUUAAGCUCCUAUCUUUCUCUGGGUUUGAUGGAUGUUGUUUGUUCUAAAAAUAUGCUUUGAGUACUAUUAAUCAUAGAAGGCUAUAUAAUAAUUGAGUAUAUGGAGAUCUUACUUAGAAUUUUUUGAAAAUAAUAUGAUUAGUUAUUGUUUGGUGACUAAGAACAUAAGUUGUUAAGUUUCAAUGGAGUGCAUUGUUUAAACCAUAACAUGUGAAUUGAUUGCUAUUUUAUCAUGAUGAGAUUUAUAAGAAAGAGCCGUUAUUUAUGAUGAUAGAAAAAGUGAAUACAAUUAUCAUUGAUCAAACUUAUGCACUAUUCUAGCAUCCGCACUUCAUAUUUUUUUACCAUUUACCUGACACGUCUCCAACAUAUCUAUAAUUUAUGAAGUAUUCGUGUCAUGUUUACAAUAAUUGUAUAUGGUUUUGGUGCACUUUUAUAUGAUUUUAAUGGACUAACCUAUUAACAUAGUGCCAAGUUUUUAUUUUGUUGUCUAUUUAUUUGUUUCAAAAAAACCCAUACAAAACGAAGUCCAAACGCCAUAAAAAUUUACGGUGAUUUUUUAUGGACAAGAAGGUACCCAGGAAGCUUCGGGGAAGGACCAGAAGGUGCACGGGGGGCCAGAAGCUCAAGGCCCCCCUUGACGCGCCACCUAAGCUUGUGGGACCCUCGGGAACUCCCCUGGUGUGAUUCGAACGCUGAAAAGUCCUAUAAUUUUGAAGGAAAUAUGCCCUAGAGGCAAUAAUAAAGUUAUUAUUUAUUUCCUUAUAUCAUGAUAAAUGUUUAUUAUUCAUGCUAGAAAUUUGUAUUAACCGGAAACAUAAUACUUGUGUGAAUACAUAAACAAACAAAGUGUCACUAGUAUGCCUCUACUUGACUAGCUCGUUAAUCAAAGAUGGUUAUGUUUUCUAACCAUAGAUAUGAGUUGUCAUUUGAUUAACGAGAUCACAUCAUUAGGAGAAUGAUGUGAUUGACAUGACCCAUUCCAUUAGCUUAGCAUCCGAUCGUUUAGUAUGUUGCUAUUGCUUUCUUCAUGGCUUGUACAUGUUCCUAUGACUAUGAGAUUAUGCAACUCCCGUUUAUCGGAGGAACACUUUGUGUGCUACCAAACGUCACAACGUAACUGGGUGAUUAUAAAGGUGCUCUACAGGUGUCUCCAAAGGUAUAUGAUGGGUUGGCGUAUUUCGAGAUUAGGAUUUGUCACUCCAAUUGUCGGAGAGGUAUCUCUGGGCCCUCUCGGUAUUGCACAUCACUUAAGCCUUGCAAGCAAUGCAACUAAUAAGUUAGUUGCAAGAUGAUGUAUUAUAGAACGAGUAAAGAGACUUGCCGGUAACGAGAUUGAACUAGGUAUUGAGAUACCGACGAUCGAAUCUCGAGCAAGUAACAUACCGAUGACAAAGGGAACAAAUGUAUGUUGUUAUGCGGUCUGACCGAUAAAGAUCUUCGUAGAAUAUGUAGGAGCCAAUAUGAGCAUCCAGGUUCCGCUGUUGGUUAUUGACCGGAGAUGUGUCUCGGUCAUGUCUACAUUGUUCUCGAACCCAUAGGGUCCGCACGCUUAACGUUACGGUGACAGUUUCAUUAUGAGUUUAUAUAUUUUGAUGUACCAAAGGUUGUUCGGAGUCCCGGAUGUGAUCACGGACUUGACGAGGAGUCUCGAAAUGGUCGAGACAUAAAGAUCGAUAUAUUGGACGACUAUAUUUGGACACCGGAAAGGUUCCGGGUGAGAUUGGGACAAUACCGGAUCACCGGGAGGUUAUCGGAACCCCCCGGGAGGUAUAUGGGCCUUAUUGGGCCUUAGUGGAAAGGAGGGGAAAGGAUCAAGGGAGGGGGCGCCCCCUCCCCAAGCCCAAUCCGAAUUGGGAGGGGGCCGCCCCCCCCCCCUUUCCUUCCUUCCUCCUUCCUCUUCCUUCCCUCUCCUACUCCUAAUAGGAAAAAAGGGAGUCCUACUCCCUGUGGGAGUUGGACUCCCCCUUAGGGCGCGCCACCCUCCUUGCCCGGCCCCCUCCUCCACUCCUUUAUAUACGGGGCAGGGGCACCCAUAGACACAACAAUUGAUCAUUGAUCUCUUAGCCGUGUGCGGUGCCCCCCUCCACCAUAAUCCUCGAUAAUAUUGUAGCGGUGCUUAGGCGAAGCCCUGCGACGGUAGAACAUCAAGAUCGUCACCACGCCGUCGUGCUGACGGAACUCAUCCCCCACAUUUUGCUGGAUCGGAGUCCGGGGAUCGUCAUCGAGCUGAACGUGUGCUAGAACUCGGAGGUGCCGUAGUUUCGGUGCUUGAUCGGUCGGGCCGUGAAGACGUACGUGUUGGAAAUAUGCCCUAGAGGCAAUAAUAAAUUGGUUAUUAUUAUAUUUCCUUGUUCAUGAUAGUCGUUUAUUAUCCAUGCUAGAAUUGUAUUGAUAGGAAACUCAGAUACAUGUGUGGAUACAUAGACAACACCAUGUCCCUAGUAAGCCUCUAGUUGACUAGCUCGUUGAUCAAUAGAUGGUUAUGGUUUCCUGACCAUGGACAUUGGAUGUCGUUGAUAACGGGAUCACAUCAUUAGGAGAAUGAUGUGAUGGACAAGACCCAAUCCUAAGCCUAGCACAAGAUCGUGUAGUUCGUAUGCUAAAGCUUUUCUAAUGUCAAGUAUCAUUUCCUUAGACCAUGAGAUUGUGCAACUCCCGGAUACCGUAGGAGUGCUUUGGGUGUGCCAAACAUCACAACGUAACUAGGUGGCUAUAAAGGUGCACUACGGGUAUCUCUGAAAGUGUCUGUUGGGUUGGCACGAAUCGAGACUGGGAUUUGUCACUCCGUGUAAACGGAGAGGUAUCUCUGGGCCCACUCGGUAGGACAUCAUCAUAAUGUGCACAAUGUGAUCAAGGAGUUGAUCACAGGACGAUGUGUUACGGAACGAGUAAAGAGACUUGCCGGUAACGAGAUUGAACAAGGUAUCGGGAUACCAACGAUCGAAUCUCGCGCAAGUAUCGUACCGAUAGACAAAGGGAAUUGUAUACGGGAUUGAUUGAAUCCUUGACAUCGUGGUUCAUCCGAUGAGAUCCCGCUGUUGGUUAUUGACCAGAGAGUUGUCUCAGCCAUGUCUGCAUGACUCCCGAACCCGUAGGGUCUACACACUUAAGGUUCGAUGACGCUAGGGUUAUAGGGAAAGUAUGUAUGCGGUUAUCGAAUGUUGUUCGGAGUCCCGGAUAAGAUCCCGAAUGUCACGAGGAGUUCCGGAAUGGUCCGGAGGUAAAGAUUGAUAUAUAGAAAGUAUGGUUUUGGCCACCGGAAGUGUUUCGGGCAUCACCGGUAGUGUACCAGGACCACCGGAGGGGUCCGGGUCCACCGGGAGGGGCCACGGGCCCCGGAGGCCUACAUGGGCCAAUAGUGGGAAGGGACCAGCCCCUAGGUGGGCUGGGGCGCCUCCCACCAAGGCCCAAGGCGCCUCCUAGAGGGGAGGGGGCAAACCCUAGGGCAGAUGGGCCAUAAGGCCCACCCUAGGUGCGCCUCCCCCUCUCCCCCUUGUGGCCGCCACCCUAGAUGGGAUCUAGGGCUGCCGCACCCCUUGGGGUGGGAACCCUAGGUGGGGGCGCAGCCCUCCCUCUCCCCCUAUAUAUAGUGGAGGCAAAGGGGCAGCCCAACACACGAAGUUCUUCCCCUGUUGGCGCAGCCCUACCUCUCUCCCUCCUCGUCUCUCGUAGUGCUUGGCGAAGCCCUGCUGGAGUCCUGCGCUCCUCCACUGCCACCACGCCGUCGUGCUGCUGCUGGACGGAGUCUUACCCAACCUCUCCUUCUCCCCUUGCUGGAUCAAGGCGUAGGAGACGUCACCGGGCUGCACGUGUGUUGAACGCGGAGGCGCCGUUGUUCGGCGCUUAGAUCGGAAUCAACCGCGAUCUGAAUCGCUACGAGUACGACUCCUUCAUCUGCGUUCUUGCAACGCUUCCGCUUAGCGAUCUACAAGGGUAUGUAGAUGCACUCUCUUUCCCCUCGUUGCUAGAUUACUCCAUAGAUUGAUCUUGGUGAUGCGUAGAAAAUUUUAAAUUUCUGCUACGAUCCCCAACAGUGGCAUCAUGAGGGCAUCUCCAGCCGUUGGCCCCCCCAGGAGGGGCAAAAAAUCGCCCCCUGGGGGCGCACCGGCGCUAAACCGCGCACUGGGGGCGUGAUGCCCCCCCCCAGUCGCGGCCCCCACGGGUUUUUAAAAAAGUCAAAUACGGCGCAAACACGACUCAAAUUUAACGCAAACAUCGGCAAGUUCGUUCAAAUUUAAACAUACUUUACAAAAAAGGGAAAAACUACCGCGGGCUACCCCCGCCGUCUCCCUCGCCGCCCACCUCGCCGCCCGCCCACGCGGUUCUACAUGCCGAGGAGGCGGUAGAACCGCGUGUAGUCACCGCCGUCGUCGUCGUCGUCGUCGCCCCCGCCGACGCCUCCGCCGUCCCUGCUGCAUCCCUCCCCUGGUUGGCGCGGCGGGUUGGACGGUCCGGGGGCGUCGUCAUCGUCGUCGCUGAGGACCACGACGCCGUGCUCGUCCUUGCGCCCACGCUUGCGGGCGGCGAUCUCCUCCAGGGCCCGGCGCUGCCGGACCAUCUCGUUGCGGAGGUAGUCGUCCCGCGGCCACCGCAGGGCGUCCUCGUCGGAGAAGCCACGUCGGGCUAUCUCCUCGUACUCCACGGGGAGGCCGGGCUCCGGCUUGGUCUCGACGAGGACGAAACGGCCGGUGGGGAAGGCGUUGUCGCCGAUGCGGACGCCGGAGCUGCGGGUGCGCGCGCUGACAGGCGCGCCCUGGGGCUCCGGCUUGAUGGGGCGGAGGUGGAGGCAGGGGGAGCCGCCGGACGAGGAGGAGGACCCCCCAGUCUCCAUGCGCCUCGGGGUUCAGGAGCUUCCCCGGCGGCAUGUGAAGGACGGGGGAGCGGGGUACUCGAGGCGCGGUGUGUUGCCGCCCUCGAUGUACUCGAGGAUAGCCUCCAACUUGCGCCCGGGCACGCCCCACCACCGACGCCGGCCGACGGCGUUGAGCCUGCCGGAGGGCUCGACGCCGUUGGUGGCCUCGAGCUGCUCGGCGUGACGGCGGCGGAAGUAGGGCUCCCAGAGCGGGCUGUCGGGGACGUACCGUGGCCCCUCCCUCCCGAGUGUGCUGGGGCGCAUCUUAUAUAGGCCGAGGCGCCGCCCGUGCGCGAGCCGCCGUGAGUACGCGUGGCGGGCGAGGGAGGGCGAGGGACGCGCGUCAUCCGGUCUUCACUGCGCCGCCCGUGAGGCAUCAAUGGCGCAGGCUGACCGGCGCGGCAGCGCAGCAACUUUGGCAUUGAUUCGCCAUGGGAAACGAGGCGAUGAGGACGACGAAGGGGUGAGAAGAGGGUAGGAGUCGCUGACGCGGUGGGCCCACGGCUGUUUCGCGCCAAAACAGUUCGCCCUGGCGCCCCCGGGCGCCCCCCAGCGCGCCGGGUUCGGCCUGGGUCCGCCGGCGCUGUUUUCGGCCCAAGCCGGCGAAAAUCGGGCUCCUGGGGGCGCGACUGGGCCGAUUUUUCGGCGCCGGCGCAAAAAAAACGCCUGGGGAGGCCUUCCUGGGGGCGUGGCUGGAGAUGCCCCGAGCUAGGUCUAUGCGUAGUUUCUAUGCACGAGUAGAACACAAGUUGUUGUGGGCGUCGAUUUUGUCAAUUUUCUUGCCGUUACUAGUCUUAUCUUGAUUCGGCGGCAUAGUGGGAUGAAGCGGCCCGGACCGACCUUACACGUACGCUUAUGUGAGACUGGUUCCACCGACUGACAUGCACUAGUUGCAUAAGGUGGCUAGCGGGUGUCUGUAUCUCCCACUUUAGUCGGAUCGGAUUCGAUGAAAAGGGUCCUUAUGAAGGGUAAAUAGAAAUUGGCAUAUCACGUUGUGGUUUUGGCGUAGGUAAGAAACGUUCUGGCUAUAAACCUAUAACAACCACAUAAAAACUUGCCACAACAAUUAGAGGACGUCUAACUUGUUUUUGCAGCAUAUGCCUUGUGAUGUGAUAUGGCCAAAAGGAUGUGAUGAAUGAUAUAUGUGAUGUAUGAGAUUGAUCAUGCUCUUGUAAUAGGAAUCACGACUUGCAUGUCGAUGAGUAUGACAACCGGCAGGAGCCAUAGGAGUUGUCUUAAUUUAUUUAUGACCUGCGUGUCAACUUAAACGUCAUGUAAUUACUUUACUUCAUUGCUAAAGCGUUAUCCAUAGUAGUAGAAGUAAUAGAUGACGAGACAACUUCAAGAAGACACGAUGAUGGGGAUCAUGAUGAUGGAGAUCAUGGUGUCAUGCCGGUGACAACGAUGAUCAUGGAGCCCCGAAGAUGGAGAUCAAAAGGAGCAAAAUGAUAUUGGCCAUAUCAUGUCACUAUUUGAUUGCAUGUGAUGUUUAUCAUGUUUUACAUCUUAUUUGCUUAGAACGACGGUAGCUUAAAUAAGAUGAUCCCUCACUAAAAUUUCAAGAAAAGUGUUCCCCCUAACUGUGCACUGUUGUGAAGGUUCGUUGUUUCGAAGCACCACGUGAUGAUCGGGUGUGAUAGAUUCUAAUGUUCGAAUACAACGGGUGUUGACGAGCCUAGCAUGUACAGACAUGGCCUCGGAACACAUGCGAAACACUUAGGUUGACUUGACGAGCCUAGCAUGUACAGACAUGGCCUCGGAACACGGAAGACCGAAAGGUCGAGCAUGAGUCGUAUAGAAGAUACGAUCAACAUGAAGAUGUUCAGCGAUGUUGACUAGUCCGUCUCACGUGAUGAUCGGACACGGCCUAGCUGACUCGGAUCAUGUUUCACUUAGAUGACUAGAGGGAUGUCUAUCUAAGUGGGAGUUCAUUAAAUAAUUUGAUUAGAUGAACUUAAUUAUCAUGAACAUAGUCUAAAUUGUCUUUGCAAAUAUGUUGUAGAUAAAUAGCUCACGUUGUAGCUCCCUGUUUUAAUACAUUCCUAAAGAAAGACCAAGUUGUAAGAUAUUGUAAGCAAUGAUGCGGACUGGGUCCGUAGUCCGAGGAGUGUCCUCACUGCUACACAGAAGGCUUACGUCUUUGAUGCACCGCUCGAUGUGCAAACCCCUACAACGUCGUCUGUGGAUGUUGUGAACACCUGACAGACACAUCCUGAUGACUACUUGAUAGUUUAGUGCACCAUACUUCAUGGCUUAGAAUCGGGAUUUCAAUGACGUUUUUGAACGCCAUAAGACAUAUGAGAUGUUCCAAGAGCUGAAAUUGGGAUUUCAGGCUCAUGCCCGUGUUGAGAGGUAUGAGACCUCUGACAAGUUCUUUUGCCAACAAGAUGGAGGAGAAUAGCUCAGCUAGUGAGCAUGUGCUCAGAAUGUCUGGGUUCUACAAUCACUUAAAUCAAGUGGGAGUUAAACUUCCAGAUAAGAUAGUGAUUGAUAGAGUUCUCUAGCCACUAUCACUAAGCUACUAGAUCUUCGUGAUGAACUAUGACAUGCAAGGGAUGGAUUUGAUCCCGGAGCUGUUCGCGGUGCUUAAGACCGCAAAAGGUAGAAAUCAAGAAGGAGCAUCAAGUGUUGAUGGUUUAACAAGACCACUGGUUUCAAGAAGGGCAAGGGCUAGAAGGGAAACUUCAUGGAUGGCAAACCAGUUGCCGCUCCAGUGAAGGAGCCCAAGGUUGAACCCAAACCCGAGACUAAGUGCUUCUAUUGUAAGGGGAACGGUCACUGGUAGCGGAAUUACCCAAAUGCAUGGUAGAUAAGAAGGCUGGCAACUUCAACAAAGUAUAUACGUGUUAUUAAUGUGUACCUCACUAGUACUCCUGGUAGCACCUGGGUAUUGGAUACCGGUUCAGUUGCUAUUAUUGGUGACUUAAAGCAAAAGCUACGGACUAAACGGAGACUGGCUAAGGGCGAGGUGACGAUGUGUGUUGGAAGUGUUUCCAAAGUUGAUGAGAUCACCAUCGCACGCUCCAUCUACUUUCGGGAUUAGUAUUGAACCUAGAUAAAUGUUAUCAGGUGUCUACGUUGAGCAUGAAUAUGAUUAGAUCAUGUUCAUUGCAAUACGGUUAUUCAUUUAAGUUAGAGAAUAAUGGUUAUUCUGUUUACAUGAAUAAUACCUUUCAUGGUCAUGCACCCUAUGUGAAUGGUUCAGUGAAUCUCGGUCGUGGUAAUACACAUGUUCACGCCAAAAGAUGUAGAUAGUACCACUUUCUUGUGGCACUGCCGCUUAGGUCAUAUUGGCGUAAGAUGCAUGAAGAAACUCCAUGUCUAUGGAUGUUUGGAGUCACUUGAUUUUGAAUCGCUUGACACAUGCGAGCCAUGCCUCAUGGGCAGGAUGACUAAGACCCCGUUUUCAGGUACAAUGAAACGAGCAAGUGACUUAUUGGAAAUCAUACAUGCUGAUGCGUGUGAUCCAAUGAGAAAUUGAAGCGUGCAAUGGAUAUCGCUAUUUUCUCAUCUUCACUGACAAUUUGAGUAGAUAUAGGUAUAUUUACUUAAUGAAGCACAAGCCUGAAACAUUUGAAAAGUUCAAGCGAUUUCAGAGUGAAGUUAAGAAUCAUCAUAACAAGAAGAUCAAAUUCCUACGAUCUGAUCAAUGAGAAUUUCUGAGUUAUGAGUUUGGCAAACACUUAAGACAUUGUGGAAUUGUUUCACAGUUGAAGCCACCAGGAACACCACAGGGUAAUGGUGUGUCCGGACGUCGUAAUCGAACCCUAUGAGAUAUGGUGCGAUCUAUGAUGUCUCUUGCCGAUCUACCGUUUUCAUUUUGAGGUUAUGCGUUAGAGACAGAUGCAUUCACUUUAGAUAGGACACCAUCUAAGUCCGUUGAGAUGACAUCAUAUGAACAUUGGUUUGGCAAGAAACCAAAGUUGUCGUUCCUUAAUGUUUGGGGCUGCGAUGCUUAAGGCUUCAGCCGGAGAAGCUCGAACCCAAAAGCGGACAAACACAUCUUCAUAGGAUACCCAAAGGUGACAGUUGGGUAUACCUUCUAUCUCAGAUCCGAGGGCAAAUUGUUUGUUGCUAAGAACGGGUCCUUUCUCGAGAAGGAGUUUCUCUCGAAAGAAAUGAGUGGGAGGAACAUAGAACUUGAUGAGGUUGUCGAACCUUUACUUCAACCAGAGAGUGAUGCAACACAGAAAGAUGUUUUCUGUGGCGCCUACGUCUGUUGAAUAGGAAGUUAAUGAUAAUGAUCAUGAAGCUUCGGAUCAAGUUGCUAUCGAACCUCGUAGGUCGACAAGGAUAUGUACUACUCCUGAGUGGUACGGUAAUCCUGUCUUAGAUAUCAUGUUGUUAGACAACAAUGAACCUAUGAGCUAUGGAGAAGCGGUGGUGGGCCCGUAUUCCGACAAAUGGUUAGAAUCCAUGAAAUCCGAUAUAGGAUCCAUGUAUCAGAACAAAGUAUGGACUUUGGUGGACUUGCUCGAUGAUCGACGAGCCAUUGAGAUAAAUGGAUCUUUAAGAAGAAGACGGACGUGGGCGGUAAUGUUACCGUCUAUGAAGCUCGACUUGUGGGAAAGAGUCUUUUCACAAGUUCAAGGAGUUGACUACGAUGAGAAUUUCUCACCCGUAGCGAUGCUUAAGUCCGUUGGAAUCAUGUUAGCAUUAGCUGUAUUUUUCGAUUAUGAAAUCUGACAGAUGGAUGUCAAAACAAGUUUUCUUACCAGUUUUCGUAAGAAAAAGUUGUAUGUGAUACAAUUAAAGGUUUUGUCGAUCCUAAGGAUGCUAAAAGGUAUGCUGGCUUCAACAAUCCUUCUAUGGACUAGAGCAAGCAUCUUGGAGUCGGAAUAUAUGCUUUGAUGGAGUGAUCAAAGCUUUUAGGUUUAUAAAAUGUUUGCUAGAAACUUGUAUUUACAAGAAAGUGAGUGGGAGCACUACAACAUUUCUGAUAAGUAUAUGUGGAUGACAUAUUGUUGAUCUGAAAUAAUGUAGAAUUUCUGGAAAGCAUAAACGGUUGUUUGAAGAGUGUUUUUCAAAGGAAGACCUGGAUAAAGCUGCUUACAUAUCGGGCAUCAAGAUCUAUAGAGAUAGAUCAAGACGCCUGAUGGUACUUUCAAAGAACGCACACCUUGACAUGUUUUUGAAGGAGUUCAAAAUAGAUCAGUCAAAGAAGGGGUUCUUACCUGUGUUGUAAGGUGUGAAGUUGAGUAAGACUCAAAGCUUGACCACAGCAGAAGAAAGAGGAAGGACGAAGGUCGUUCCCUAUGCUUUUGUCAUAGGCUCUAUACGGUAUGCCAUGCUAAGUACCGCACCUGAUGUGUGCCUUGCCACAUGUCUAGCAAGAGGGUACAAAGGUGAUCUAGGAGUGGAUCACUAGAUAGCGGUCAAAAUUAUCCUUAGAGGAAUAAGGAAAUGUUUCUCGGUUAUGGAGGUGAUAAAGAGUUCGACGUAAAGAGUUACGUCGAUGCAAGCUUAACACCUAUCCGGAUAGCUCUGAGUAGAGAUACCGGAUACGUAUAAUGGAGCAACAAUUUGGAAUAGCUCCAAGUGGAACGUGGUAGCAACAUCUAUGAUAUGACAUAAAGUUUGCGAAAUACAUAGGGAUCUGAAUAUGGCAAGACCCGUUGACUACAACCUCUCUCACAAGCAUAACAUGAUCAAACCCAGAACUCUUUGAGUGUUUAUCACAUAGUGAUGUGAACUAUAUCAUUGAGUCUAGUAGACUCUUGGAUGUUGGUCACAUGGCGAUGUGAACUAGAUUAUUGACUCUAGUGCAAGUGGGAGACUGUUGGAAAUAUGCCCUAGAGGCAAUAAUAAAUUGGUUAUUAUUAUAUUUCCUUGUUCAUGACAGUCGUUUAUUAUCCAUGCUAGAGUUGUAUUGAUAGGAAACUCAGAUACAUGUGUGGAUACAUAGACAACACCAUGUCCCUAGUAAGCCUCUAGUUGACUAGCUUGUUGAUCAAUAGAUGGUUACGGUUUCCUGACCAUGGACAUUGGAUGUCGUUGAUAACGGGAUCACAUCAUUAGGAGAAUGAUGUGAUGGACAAGACCCAAUCCUAAGCCUAGCACAAGAUCGUGUAGUUCGUAUGCUAAAGCUUUUCUAAUGUCAAGUAUCAUUUCCUUAGACCAUGAGAUUGUGCAACUCCCGGAUACCGUAGGAGUGCUUUGGGUGUGCCAAACGUCACAAUGUAACUGGGUGGCUAUAAAGGUGCACUACGGGUAUCUCUGAAAGUGUCAGUUGGGUUGGCACGAAUCGAGACUGGGAUUUGUCACUCCGUGUAAACGAAAAGGUAUCUCUGGGCCCACUCGGUAGGACAUCAUCAUAAUGUGCACAAUGUGAUCAAGGAGUUGAUCACGGGACGAUGUGUUACGGAACGAGUAAAGAGACUUGCCGGUAACAAGAAUGAAUAAGGUAUCGGGAUACCAAUGAUCGAAUCUCGGGCAAGUAUCGUACCGAUAGACAAAGGGAAUUGUAUACGGGAUUGAUUGAAUCCUUGACAUCGUGGUUCAUCCGAUGAGAUCAUCGGGGAGCAUGUGGGAACCAACGUGGGUAUCCAGAUCCCGCUGUUGGUUAUUGACCGGAGAGUUGUCUCGGCCAUGUUUGCAUUACUCCCGAACCCGUAGGGUCUACACACUUAAGGUUCGAUGAUGCUAGGGUUAUAGGGAAAGUAUGUACGCGGUUACCUAAUGGUGUUCAGAGUCCCGGAUGAGAUCCCGGACGUCACGAGGAGUUCCGGAAUGGUCCAUAGGUAAAUAUUGAUAUAUAGGAAGUAUGGUUUUGGCCACCGGAAGUGUUCCGGGCAUCACCGGUAGUGUACCGGGACCACCGGAGGGGGUCCGGGGGUCCACCAGGAGGGGCCACGGGCCCCAGAGGCCUACAUGGGCCAAUAGUGGGAAGGGACCAACCCCUAGGUGGGCUGGGGCGCCUCCCACCAAGGCCCAAGGCGCCUCCUAGAGGGGAGGGGGUAAACCCUAGGGCAGAUGGGCCCUAAGGCCCACCCCAGGUGCGCCUCCCCCUCUCCCCCUUGUGGCCGCCACCCUAGAUGGGAUCUAGGGCUGCCGCACCCCUUGGGGUGGGAACCCUAGGUGGGGGCGCAGCCCUCACUCUCCCCCUAUAUAUAGUGGAGGCAAAGGGGCAGCCCAACACACGAAGUUCUUCCCCUGUUGGCGCAGCCCUACCUCUCUCCCUCCUCGUCUCUCGUAGUGCUUGGCGAAGCCCUGCUGGAGUCCCGCGCUCCUCCACCACCACCACGCUGUCGUGCUACUGCUGGAUGGAGUCUUCCCCAACCUCUCCUUCUCCCUUUGCUGGAUCAAGGCGUAGGAGACGUCACCGGGCUGCACGUGUGUUGAACGCGGAGGCGCCGUUGUUCGGCGCUUAGAUCGGAAUCAACCGCGAUCUGAAUCGCUACGAGUACGACUCCUUCAUCCGCGUUCUUGCAACACUUCCGCUUAGCGAUCUACUCCCUCCGUAAACUAAUAUAAGAGCGUUUAGAAUGCUAAAGUAGUUAUCUAAACACUCUUAUAUUAGUUUACAGAGGGAGUACAAGGGUAUGUAGAUGCACUCUCCUUCCGCUCAUUGCUAGAUUACUCCAUAGAUUGAUCUUGGUGAUGCGUAGAAAAUUUUAAAUUUCUGCUACGAUCCCCAACAGUACGACUACAUCAACCGCGUUGUGCUAACGCUUCCGCUUCCGGUCUACGAGGGUACGUAGACAACACUCUUCCCUCUCGUUGCUAUGCAUCACCAGGAUCUUGCGUGUGCGUAGGAAAAUUUUGAAAUUACUACGUUCCCCAACAGUGGCAUCCGAGCCUAGGUUUUAUGCGUUGAUGUUAUGCACGAGUAGAACACAAGUGAGUUGUGGGCGAUAUAAGUCAUACUGCUUACCAGCAUGUCAUACUUUGGUUCGGCGGUAUUGUUGGAUGAAGUGGCCCGGACCGACAUUACGCAUACGCUUACGCGAGACUAGUUCUACCGACGUGCUUUGCACACAGGUGGCUGGCGGGUGUCAGUUUCUCCAACUUUAGUUGAACCGAGUGUGGCUACGCCCGGUCCUUGCGAAGGUUAAAACAACACCAACUUGGCAAACUAUCGUUGUGGUUUUGAUGCGUUGGUAAGAACGGUUCUUGCUAAGCCCGUAGCAGCCACGUAAAACUUGCAACAACAAAGUAGAGGACGUCUAACUUGUUUUUGCAGGGCAUGUUGUGAUGUGAUAUGGUCAAGGCAUGAUGCUAAAAUUUAUUGUAUGAGAUGAUCAUGUUUUGUAACCUAGUUAUCGGCAACUGGCAGGAGCCAUAUGGUUGUCACUUUAUUGUAUGCAAUGCAAUCGUGUUGUAAUGCUUUACUUUAUCACCAAGCGGUAGCGAUAGUCGUGGAAGCAUAAGAUUGGCGAGACGACAAUGAUGCUACGAUGGAGAUCAAGGUGUCGCGCCGGUGACGAUGGUGAUCAUGACGAUGCUUCGGAGAUGGAGAUCACAAGCACAAGAUGAUGAUGGACAUAUCAUAUCACUUAUAUUGAUUGCAUGUGAUGUUUAUCUUUUAUGCAUCUUAUCUUGCUUUGAUUGACGGUAGCAUUAUAAGAUGAUCUCUCACUAAAUUUCAAGAUAAAAAUGUUCUCCCUGAGUAUGCACCGUUGCCAAAGUUCGUCGUGCCCAGACACCACGUGAUGAUCGGGUGUGAUAAGCUCUACGUCCAUCUACAACGGGUGCAAGCCAGUUUUGCACACGCAGAAUACUCAGGUUAAACUUGACGAGCCUAGCAUAUGCAGAUAUGGCCUCGGAACACUGAGACCGAAAGGUCGAGCGUGAAUCAUAUAGUAGAUAUGAUCAACAUAGUGAUGUUCACCAUUGAGAACUACUCCAUUUCACGUGAUGAUCGGUUAUGGUUUAUUUGAUUUGGAUCACGUGAUCACUUAGAAGAUUAGAGGGAUGUCUUUCUAAGUGGGAGUUCUUAAGUAAUAUGAUUAAUUGAACUUAAAUUUAUCAUGAACUUAGUACCUGAUAGUAUCUUGCUUGUUUAUGUUUGAUUGUAGAUAGAUGGCCCGUGCUGUUGUUUCGUUGAAUUUUAAUGCGUUCCUUGAGAAAGCAAAGUUGAAAGAUGAUGGUAGCAAUUAUACGGACUGGGUCCGUAACUUGAGGAUUAUCCUCAUUGCUGCACAGAAGAAUUAUGUCCUGGAAGCACCGCUGGGUGCCAGGCCUGCUGCUGGAGCAACACCAGAUGUUAUGAACGUCUGGUAGAGCAAAGCUGAUGAUUACUCGAUAGUUCAGUGUGCCAUGCUUUACGGCUUAGAAUCGGGACUUCAACGAUGUUUUGAACGCCAUGGAGAAUAUGAGAUGUUCUAGGAGUUGAAGUUAAUAUUUCAAGCAAAUGCCCGGAUUGAGAGAUAUGAAGUCUCUAAUAAGUUCUAUAGCUGGAAGAUGGAGGAGAACAGUUCUGUCAGUGAGCAUAUACUCAAAAUAUCUGGGUAUAAUAAUCACUUAAUUCAACCGGAUGAUUUCGUCAUUGACAGAAUUCUCCAAUCACUUCCACCUAGCUACAAGAGCUUCGUGAUGAACUAUAAUAUGCAAGGGAUGAAUAAGACAAUUCCCGAGCUCUUCGCAAUGCUAAAAGCUGCGGAGGUAGAAAUCAAGAAGGAGCAUCAAGUGUUGAUGGUCAACAAGACCACUAGUUUCAAGAAAAAGGGCAAGGGGAAGAAGAAGGGGAACUUCAAGAAGAACAGCAAGCAAGUUGCUGCUUAGGAGAAGAAAGCCAAGUCUGGACCUAAGCCUGAAACUGAGUGCUUCUACUGCAAGUAGACUGGUCACUGGAAGCGGAACUACCCCAAGUAUUUGGCGGAUAAGAAGGGUGGCAAGGUGAACAAAGGUAUAUGUGAUAUACAUGUUAUUGAUGUGUACCUUACUAGAGCUCGCAGUAGCACCUGGGUAUUUGAUACUGGUUCUGUUGCUAAUAUUUGCAACUCGAAAUAGGGAUUACAGAUUAAGUGAACACUGGCGAAGGACGAGGUAACGAUGCGCGUGGGAAAUGGUUCCAAAGUCGAUGUGAUCGCGGUCGGCACGCUACCUCUACAUCUACCAUCGGGAUUAGUAUUAGACCUAAAUAAUUGUUAUUUGGUGCCAGCGUUGAGCAUGAACAUUAUAUCUGGAUCUUUUUUGAUGCGAGACGGUUAUUCAUUUAAAUCGGAGAAUAAUGGUUGUUCUAUUUAUAUGAGUAAUAUCUUUUAUGGUCAUGCACCCUUGAAGAGUGGUCUAUUUUUGAUGAAUCUCGAUAGUAGUGAUACACAUAUUCAUAAUGUUGAAGUCAAAAGAUGCAGAGUUGAUAAUGAUAGUGCAACUUAUUUGUGGCACUGCCAUUUAGGUCAUAUCGGUGUAAAGCGCAUGAAGAAACUCCAUACUGAUGGACUUUUGGAACCACUUGAUUAUGAAUCACUUGGUACUUGCGAACCGUGCCUCAUGGGCAAGAUGACUAAAAUGCAGUUCUCCGGUACUAUGGAGAGAGCAACAGAUUUGUUGGAAAUCAUACAUACAGAUGUAUGUGGUCCAAUGAAUGUUGAAGCUCGUAGCGGAUAUCAUUAUUUUCUCACCUUCACAGAUGAUUUAAGCAGAUAUGGGUAUAUCUACUUAAUGAAACAUAAGUCUGAAACAUUUGAAAAGUUCAAAGAAUUUCAGAGUGAAGUUGAAAAUCAUCAUAACAAGAAAAUAAAGUUUCUACGAUUUGAUCGUGGAGGAGAAUAUUUGAGUUACGAGUUUGGUUUACAUUUGAAACAAUGCGGAAUAGUUUCCCAACUCACGCCACCCGGAACACCACAGCGUAAUGGUGUGUCCGAACGUCGUAACCGUACUUUACUUGAUAUGGUGCGAUCUAUGAUGUCUCUUACAGAUUUACCGCUAUCGUUUUGGGGUUAUGCUUUAGAGACGAACGCAUUCACAUUAAAUAAGGCACCAUCAAAAUCCGUUGAGACGGCACCUUAUGAACUAUGGUUUGGCAAGAAACCAAAGUUGUCGUUUCUGAAAGUUUGGGGCUGCGAUACUUAUAUGAAAAAGCUUCAACCUGAUAAGCUCGAACCCAAAUCGGAGAAAUGUGUCUUCAUAGGAUACCCGAAGGAGACUGUUGGGUACACCUUCUAUCACAGAUCCGAAGGCAAGACAUUUGUUGCUAAGAAUGGAUCCUUUCUAGAGAAGGAGUUUCUCUCGAAAGAAGUGAGUGGGAGGAAAGUAGAACUUGAUGAGGUAACUGUACCUGCUCCCUUAUUGGAAAGUAGUACAUCACAGAAACUGGUUUCUGUGACACCUACACCAAUUAGUGAGGAAGCUAAUGAUGAUGAUCAUGAAACUUCAGAACAAGUUACUACUGAACCUCGUAGAUCAACUAGAGUAAGAUUCGCACCAGAGUGGUAUGGUAAUCCUGUUCUGGAAGUCAUGCUACUAGAUCAUGAUGAAGCUACGAACUAUGAAGAAGCGAUGGUGAGCCCAGAUUCCGCAAAAUGGCUUGAAGCCAUGAAAUCUGAGAUGGGAUCCAUGUAUGAGAACAAAGUGUGGACUUUGGUUGACUUGCCCAAUGAUCGGCAAGCAAUUGAGAAUAAAUGGAUCUUCAAGAAGAAGACUGACGCUGACGGUAAUGUUACUGUCUACAAAGCUCGACUUGUCGCAAAAGGUUUUCGACAAGUUCAAGGGAUUGACUACGAUGAGACCUUCUCACCCGUAGCGAUGCUUAAGUCUGUCCGAAUCAUGUUAGCAAUUGCCGCAUUUUAUGAUUAUGAAAUUUGGCAGAUGGAUGUCAAAAUUGCAUUCCUGAAUGGAUUUCUGGAAGAAGAGUUGUAUAUGAUGCAGCCGGAAGGUUUUGUCGAUCCAAAGGGAGCUAACAAAGUGUGCAAGCUCCAGUGAUUCAUUUAUGGACUGGUGCAAGCAUCUCGGAGUUGGAAUAAACGCUUUGAUAGUGUGAUCAAAGCAUUUGGUUUUAUACAGACUUUUGGAGAAGCCUGUAUUUACAAGAAAGUGAGUGGGAGCUCUGUAGCAUUUCUAAUAUUAUAUGUGGAUGACAUAUUACUAAUCAGAAAUGAUAUAGAAUUUCUGGAUAGCAUAAAGGGAUACUUGAAUAAGAGUUUUUCCAUGAAAGACCCCGGUGAAGCUGCUUACAUAUUGGGCAUUAAGAUCUAUAGAGAUAGAUCAAGACGCUUAACUGGACUUUCACAAAGCACAUACCUUGACAAAGUUUUGAAGAAGUUCAAAAUGGAUCAAGCAAAGAAAGGAUUCUUGCCUGUGUUACAAGGUGUGAAGUUGAGUAAGACUCAAUGCCCGACCACUGCAGAAGAUAGAGAGAAAAUGAAAGAUGUUCCCUAUGCUUCAGCCAUAGGCUCUAUCAUGUAUGCAAUGCUGUGUACCAGACCUGAUGUGUGCCUUGCUAUAAGUCUAGCAGGGAGGUACCAAAGUAAUCCAGGAGUGGAUCACUAGACAGCGGUCAAGAACAUCCUGAAAUACCUGAAAAGGACUAAGGAUAAGUUUCUCGUAUAUGGAGGUGACAAAGAGCUCAUCGUAAAUGGUUACGUUGAUGCAAGCUUUGACACUGAUCCGGACGAUUCUAAAUCGCAAACCGGAUACGUAUUUACAUUAAACGGUGGAGCUGUCAGUUGGUGCAGUUCUAAACAAAGCGUCGUGGCGGGAUCUACAUGUGAAGCGGAGUACAUGGCUGCUUCGGAAGCAGCAAACGAAGGAGUCUGGAUGAAGGAGUUCAUAUCUGAUCUAGGUGUCAUACCUAGUGCAUCGGGUCCAAUGAAAAUCUUUUGUGACAAUACUGGUGCAAUUGCCUUGGCAAAGGAAUCCAGAUUUCACAAGAGAACCAAGCACAUCAAGAGACGCUUCAAUUCCAUCUGGGAUCUAGUCCAGGUGGGAGACAUAGAGAUUUGCAAGAUACAUACGGAUCUGAAUGUAGCAGACCCAUUGACUAAGCCUCUUCCAUGAGCAAAACAUGAUCAGCACCAAGGCUCCAUGGGUGUUAGAAUCAUUACUGUGUAAUUUAGAUUAUUGACUCUAGUGCAAGUGGGAGACUGAAGGAAAUAUGCCCUAGAGGCAAUAAUAAAGUUAUUAUUUAUUUCCUUAUAUCAUGAUAAAUGUUUAUUAUUCAUGCUAGAAUUGUAUUAACCGGAAACAUAAUACUUGUGUGAAUACAUAGACAAACAAAGUGUCACUAGUAUGCCUCUACUUGACUAGCUCGUUAAUCGAAGAUGGUUAUGUUUCCUAACCAUAGACAUGAGUUGUCAUUUGAUUAACGAGAUCACAUCAUUAGGAGAAUGAUGUGAUUGACAUGACCCAUUCCAUUAGCUUAGCACCCGAUCGUUUAGUAUGUUGCUAUUUCUUUUUUCAUGACUUAUACAUGUUCCUAUGACUAUGAGAUUAUGCAACUCCCGUUUACCGGAGGAACACUUUGCGUGCUACCAAACGUCACAACGUAACUGGGUGAUUAUAAAGGUGCUCUACAGGUGUCUCCAAAGGUACAUGUUGGGUUGGCGUAUUUCGAGAUUAGGAUUUGUCACUCCGAUUGUCGGAGAGGUAUCUCUGGGCCCUCUCGGUAAUGCACAUCACUUAAGCCUUGCAAGCAAUGCAACUAAUAAGUUAGUUGCAAGAUUAUGUAUUAUAGAACGAGUAAAGAGACUUGCCGGUAACGAGAUUGAACUAGGUAUUGAGAUACCGACGAUCAAAUCUCGGGCAAGUAACAUACCGAUGACAAAGGGAACAAACGUAUGUUGUUAUGCGGUCUGACCGAUAAAGAUCUUCGUAGAAUAUGUAAGAGCCAAUAUGAGCAUCCAGGUUCCGCUAUUGGUUAUUGACCGGAGACAUGUCUCGGUCAUGUCUACAUUGUUCUCGAACCCGUAGGGUCCGCACGCUUAACAUUACGAUGACAGUUUCAUUAUGAGUUUAUAUAUUUUGAUGUACCGAAGGUUGUUCGGAGUCCCGGAUGUGAUCACGGACUUGACGAGGAGUCUCGAAAUGGUCGAGACAUAAAGAGAUAUAUUGUACGACUAUAUUUGGACACUGGAAAGGUUCCGGGUGAGAUUGGGACAAUACCGGAUCACAGGGUGGUUAUCGGAACCCGUCGGGAGGUAUAUGGGCCUUAUUGGGCCUUACUGGAAAGGAGGGGAAAGGAUCAAGGGAGGGGGGCCGCCCCCCCCUUUCCUUCCUCCCUCCUUCCUCUUCCUUCCCUCUCCUACUCCUAAUAGGAAAAAGGGGAGUCCUACUCCCUGUGGGAGUUGGACUCCCCCUUAGGGCGCGCCACCCUCCUUGGCCGGCCCCCUCCUCCACUCCUUUAUAUACGGGGGCAGGGGGGCACCCCAUAGACACAACAAUUGAUCAUUGAUCUCUUAGCCGUGUGCGGUGCCCCCCUCCACCAUAAUCCUCGAUAAUAUUGUAGCGGUGCUUAGGCGAAGCCCUGCGACGGUAGAACAUCAAGAUCGUCACCACGCCGUCGUGCUGACAGAACUCAUCCCCGACACUUUGCUGGAUUGGAGUCCGGGGUUCGUCAUCGAGCUGAACGUGUGCUAGAACUCGGAGGUGCCGUAGUUUUGGUGCUUGAUCGGUCGGGCCGUGAAGACGUACGACUACAUCAACCGCGUUGUGCUAACGCUUCCGCUUCCGGUCUACGAGGGUACGUAGACAACACUCUUCCCUCUCAUUGCUAUGCAUCACCUUGAUCUUGCGUGUGCGUAGGAAAAUUUUGAAAUUACUACGUUCCCCAACAAAUUCCAUAAACCCUCGAAAGUUAACUUGGAUGAGUUUUUUCACCACAGCAAGCCUCUAUUCCGAAGCGAUCUCAUCCGAAGCCCUGUUUCGGCACCCUGCCAGAGGGGGGAAGUCAUCAUCGGAGGCCAUCUUCAUCAUCCCUGCUGCCUCCAUGACGAGGAGGGAGUAGUUCACCCCCGGGGCUGAGGGUAUAUACCAGUUGCUAUGUGUUUGAUCUCUCUCUCUCUCUCUCUCUCUGUCUCUCUCUCUCUCUCUCUCUCGUGAUCUUGAUAGGACAUGAUCUUAAAUACCAUGAGCUUUGUUAAUAUAGUCAGAUCAUAUGGUGUUCUUUUCUCUCCAUCUCUGUUGUGAUGAAUUGAGUCUUGCUCUUUGAAGUUUCAUAUGUUGGAUUGAAUACUUUAGAUUUGAGAUCACUUAAUGUAUGUCUUGCCUGUGGAUACCCGUGGUGGCAAUGGAGUAAUUUAUCAAGAUCACUUGACAAGUGUUUUGGUAAUCAACUCGUGGAUUCUUAUAGUGACAUUGGGGUAAUCUAGGCAUAGAGGUUGAUACACGUUUUCAUCCUACUUUUCCAAAGGAUAUCUUAUAUGAGCCAUACUUAUCCAAGGAAUCAAUCGCGUGAGGGUGUUGUUAAUAGAGGGAGCUCUGGCCAGGAGAGGCUAGAGCGAGUGAUAUCAACAAAAAUGUACAUUGGAGAGAUUCUUUAUCGCACAUUGAGGGAUUGUUAUGUGAUUCAAUUAUGUCAGUAUUGUUGAGAAACUGCACUAGUAAAAAUAUGAACCCUAAGCCUUGUUUUCAAGCAUUGCAAUGCCGUUUGUGUUAACUCUUAUCACUUGCUACCUUGAUAUUUUUAUUAUUUCAGAUUACAAAAACAUAUAUCUACCAUCCAUACUACACUUGUAUCACCAUCUCUUCGCUGAACUAGUGCACCUAUACAAUUUACAAUUGUAUUGGGUGUGUUGGGGACAUAAGGGAUUUAUUAUAUAUGAUUGCAGGGUUGUUUGAGAGAGACCAUCUUCAUCAUAUACCUCCCACAAAUUCAUAAACAUUAGGUCAUCUACUUGAGAGAAAUUUGUUGCUGACCUACAAAACUCUGCUGAAAGUGCUAAUGGCACUUAUGCUAUGUUUUGGUGUGAUGACAAUGUGGUUGGUUGAACUAAUAUCGGUUGCUAAAGUUUAUCUCAGGUUAUUGGUUCUAAGUGGCCGCGAUGGAGAUGUGCGACCCCCCCCAUUUCAAAAGGACAAAGGCGUGGUAUUUCGACGCUUCGAAGGUUUAGUUUUGGUUUGCUUCGAGUCGUAGGAAAGACCGCACUAUUAAGAGGGGUUUGUGUGGAUAAAUGUCAUGUGGGAAUGCCUUUGCCGAGCCUUACUAUCUUACCCUUCCCACUCCGACCACCUAAAAAGAACCUAGUGUGUGUGUGUGUGUGUGUGUACUGGGUACCCCGUGCGCAUGGGGUCUUUCGACCCCCGUGCGCACGGGGUACUGCGUAACUCUCUGGGUACCCCAUGCGCACGGGGUCUUUUGACCCCCGUGCGCAUGGGGUCCUAUGUAAACUCUCUGAGUACCCCGUGCGCACGGGGUCUUUUGACCCCCGUGCGCACGGGGUGGUGUGUUUGUCUCUGAGUACCCCGUGCGCACGGGGCUGACUUAGCCCGUGCGCACGGGGUCCAACGGGCAAAAAUCCCCACCAGCCCGUGAACACUAUUUAAAGGCCCUUCUUCCACCUCCAACCUUCAACCCUAAUGUCUUGUUGAGCUCCACCAUUGCUACACCCCAUUUUGCUCAAUACUCUCAAUCCCUCCACCCAAACUUGUUGAAACUUUGGGGAUUGGGAGAGAAAGACUCGAUCUACAACUUGACCAAACCAAAUCGCGUUCCCCGCAACAUUUCUUCCCCAUUGACUUGUUACUCUUGGAGCUUGGGAUCCUAGGCAGUUAGAGGUUCCUCCAGAAGCUUCCUUGCUUGUGGUGUGCUCCGGAGAAGUUUGUAAAGGUGUGGUGGUCGCCUUCAAGACCAACCCUGAGUGUUUCGAGGCUCAUCCAUUGGGGGUGACUCGAAGGAGAAUACGGUGAGCCUUUGGUGGCAUUCCGCAAGCUUUGGCUCCGGCAUCGCUCCAAACGAAGAUUAGCUCUUCCCCAAGGAAGAGUGAACUUCGGGUUAAAAUCCACGUCCUGGUCUCACUUGUGGUUAAUCCUUUACCGCACCUUUCUUUGUUGUUGUAUGCUUGUUGGCUUCCUAAGUAGUUUGUUGCCUAGCAUAUCUAUCUUGGAGCUUGCUUGUCAUAUAGGUUGCAUUCACCUAGUUGCAUAUCUAGUGAACUCUUUUAUCCGCUAAGCCUUAAAAUAUACAAGCAAGAUUAAAAUUUGUAGUCUCCUAUUCAGCCCCCUCUAGUCGACCGUAUCGAUCCUUUCAAUUGGUAUCAGAGCCUCGUGCUCUAAUAUAAGGUUUUACAACCUUAGAGGAUAUGGUCGAUCUAGGGAAUGAGGGAGGUGGCCUACCCAUUGCGGGGGAUGGUCAAAACCAACCCCCGCCGCGACCGAGACACUUGGUGCUCCUGUCGUUGCUCCCGCCGCUCCUACUAACCCGAAUGUCCCCUUGACCGCGGCCGAUCUUCUUUCAAUGUUUGCGGACCUCAAAGUCUCUAUGUUGAAAGAGGUUCGGGCCUCGGUCAAGGAGGAAAUUGAUGCUCGCUUAAAGCCAUCAACGUCCGCAUCAAACUCGUUUAAUCCAAAUGAGGUUCAUGAUGCGGAUGACUCGAGGGAACCUCUUGCUUCUCCGGCUCGUACUCAAGUUCCCUAGUACAAUGCCGUGGAACCCUUUUACUCUCCUCAACCCUUGCAACAUCCCCGCAUUAAUCUUGUUGGGCCUCCGCCCCCUUUGAAAGCUAAUGCAUUUGCUAAGUGGAAGCUAGAUAUGGAGUCUCACAUGCGCAGUGCUUCAACCCAAUUGUGGUGGAUUGUGGUCAAUAGAUUCAACCCCAAGGACCCAAUGAAUCUCACUCCAAGGGGAGCAGUUGAUGAUCAACUCAAUGCUACCGCGCACAACAUGCUUCGCAACGCUGUGACUGAAGACUAUAGUGAUUCCAUUUCUCUUCUCAAAACCGCAAAGGAAAUUUGGGAUUGCCUUGAGGAGGCUCUUGAAGGAGAUGAAGCAAUUCGAAGAUCUCGGUUGGCCUUGCUCAAACAAGAAGUCAAUCUCUUUGUGAGGAAUGAGGGUGAGUCCGCAGAAGAGGUUUACCGAAGGUUGAAGUCCCUUGUGCUCAACUUGAGAACCUUUGGGUGCACUUGGGCAAAUGAUGAUUUCAUCAAGGACAAGUUCAUAGAUGCUAUGGUUCUCACGGAACAUACCAUGGUCAUGAUGGUUCAUCAACGUCCAGACUAUCACAAGUUGACUUCGGCUCAAGUUGUUUCCACCUUCUCUACCCAUGUUCUUUUGGAAACCAAGUCCAAGAAAACAUUUGCAAUAGCUCAAGCAACCAAGAACUCCAAUCUUGCCUUGAAGGCCAAGAAAGUGAUGAGCCAAUCCUCAAGGGCGGAAGAAGUGAGUGAAGAGAUAUGUGAGGAGGAUAAUGAUACCUCGUGCCCAGCAAAUGAUUUUGUAGAAGACUUGGCUCUCUUAGUCAAGAAAUACUCCGGGACCAUGGCAAACAAAGAAAGAAAUCUUCGAGGAAGAUCAUUUGGACGAAGGAAAUGCUACAAUUGUGAUAGCCCAAGACACUUUGUUCAUGAUUGUCCAUACGAGAGACGUGAAGACAAGUCCGAGAAGCUUGUGCUUAAGAAGAAGAAGUUCACCAAGUUUGCAAACAGGAAGGAUGACAAGGCUCUUGUUCAUGAAGAAUACAUGUCUGGAGAUGAAGAUGACGGUGAUGAUGAUCAAGUGGGCACGGCCGCCUUUGCCAUGCAUGCCACUACCUCCUCCUCCACCACCGGCCUCUUCGACUCUCCAAACGAGGACAAGUCAUUCACUCAUCGGUGCCUCAUGGCCAAAGAGGUAAAAACAAAGUCCAAACCCAAGAAACCCGACACCUACACUCCCAAUGUCUCAUGUGAGAUAUUGGAGGAUGAGUGUGAGGAGGGUGUGGAUAAUGAUGAGGAAUCCUUAACGGCUUUCAUGAAAACUCUUCAUGGUGAAGCUCGUGCUCGUUUUGGCGAUCUCCUUAAGUCACUUGCCGAACGCGAUGACUUUAUUGAGAACGUUGAGAACCUCCUUAUAGAGGAAAAAGAGAGAGUUGAUCUCCUCGAGCACGAACUUAAUGAAGAGAGUGUCAUGAGAGCAUCACUUGAGGAAGCCUUAUCUGCUCAUCAAAUUGACUUUGUUAAAACCAAUGAUGCUUUGCAACUUGCUCUUGAGAAUAAAGAUGCUCUUAACGUUAGAGUUGAAAAGCUUCUAGUUGACCAUACAAGACUUGUUGAGGAGCAUGAGUUCCUUGUGAUUAGUUCCAAGGUUGUCAAAGGUGACCUCAUUGCCCUCACCGAGUCUUAUGCUCAACUAAAAGCUACAACCAUUAAGGCUCUCACUUCCGUACCUCAUGUAGAUUUAAAUGAUGAUGCUUGUACGGCUAAUUUUGCUCAUGAUUGCACCUCCCUUCAAGAGGAAAAUAAGAAGUUGAAAGAUCAAAUUGAGAAAGGGCUUGUAUCAUGCAUCCAAGGGGAGAAAAACCUAAACGAUCUCUUGAGCAACCAAAAGGAGUGUGUUGCCAAGGAGGGAGUUGGGUUUAAUCCCGCAUCUAAGAGUGGUAAUAAAAAGAAGAAGAAGAACAACAAGAAGAUCGGUCCGACUCCUUCCCCUCCCCAAAAGGUAGUGUUUGUGCAAGAAGGGUACAAGGAGAAGGAGAAGGAAAUGAAGGGUGUUGGGAAUGGAAAGGUCAUUAGGGACAAGGCCAUUCCCAAGAAUUUUGCCGGCAAGAACAAUCCAUCAUAUUUCUCAUGAGAGGAGAUGAUGGCUAUACCUUUGCAAAAUUUGUUGGAACUAACUAUGAUGAUUAUGCUUGGGCUAUUUGGGUUCCCAAGACCCUCGUUGCUAACUCACCAGGACCCAUUGCAAAAUGGGUACCUAUAACCAAAGCUUAAUUAUUGUAGGACUAUGUCUCCGGUGGAACUCAAUGGGUAAUCGACAGUGGAUGCACCAAUCAUAUGACCAGAGAAAGGGAGAUGCUUGUGGAGUUCAUUGAUUCACUCAAGGCCUCUUCAAACAUCUCCUUCGGUGACAAUGGCAAGGGCAAGGUAUUGGGUUUGGGGUAAGGUGGUAAUCUCUAAUGAUUCAUCUCUUUCAAAUGUCAUGCUUGUCCAAUCCCUUCACUACAACUUACUUUCUACUAUUCAAUUGGCUCGUGUCGGUUAUGAUUCACAUUUUGGUGAAUUCCAUGUGACCGUCUUUAAGAGAAGCAAUCUCAAAGUGGUCUUCCUUGGGCAUGUUGAAGACAACCUUUACGUGGUUGAUUUCUCGAAAGAGAAAACUCAUCUUGCAACAUGCCUAAUAGACAAGGCCGACGUGGGGUGGCUAUGGCACCGUAGGCUAGCCCACGUGGGCAUGAGAAAUUUACAAGCUCUCUUAAAGGGGGAGCACAUUCUUGGACUAACCAAUGUGUCUUUUGCCAAAGAUUGUCCUUGUAGUGCUUGCAUUGCCGGAAAGCUUCAUGAAAAAGCUCAUAAAGUAAAGACUAUCAUCACCACCUUGAGGCCCCUCGAGCUCAUCCAUUUGGAUCUAUUCGGGCCUCCAACAUAUGAUAGUUUGGGAGGAAGGAGAUAUUGCCUUGUCAUUGUUGAUGACUUCACAAGAUAUUCUUGGGUGUUCUUUCUCAAGACUAAAGAUGAAACUCAAGAAACCUUCAUCAACUUUGCCAAAGAAGAUCAACGUCAACAUAACUGUGAGAUCAAGGCAAUUCGAAGUGGCAAUGGCACCGAGUUCAAAAACUAUACAAUGGAUGAAUUCUUGAGUGAAGAGGGGAUAAAGCACCAAUAUGCCGCACCAUAUACCCCCCAACAAAAUGGUGUUGCGGAGAGGAAGAAUCAGACUCUUAUUGAGAUGGCGAGGACCAUGCUUGAUGAGUACAAAUCACCAUACAAGCUUUGGGCAGAAGCCAUCAACACCGCGUGCCAUGCUUCAAACCGGCUUUAUCUUCGCAAGCUCAAGAACAAGACCCCUUAUGAGCUCCUAAUCGGGAGACAGCCCAAUGUCAAAUACUUUCGGGUAUUCGGUUGUAAGUGUUUCAUUUUGAACAAAAAAUCCCGGUUAGCUAAAUUUGAGUCUAGAGCUUAUUAUGGCAUAUUUGUUGGGUAUGCAUCAAACUCUCAUGCUUACCGAGUUCUCAAUAAAUCCACCGGAUGCAUUGAGGAAACAGUAAAUGUGGAGUUUGAUGAAGAUAACGGCUCCCGUAUGGAGCAAAUCAUUCCUAGUGUUGUAGGUGAUGAGGCUCCUUCACAAGCUAUAAGGACAAUGGGGAUAGGCCACAUUCUUCCACAAGAAACACCCCAUGUCCAAGUAGAAGAAGAAGGAGUAAGAGCCCCUCUUGAGGAUUUUCCACAAGGGAAGUCACCACCGACACCACUUGUACAAGAUGCUUCAGGAAAUAAUGAACCUAUCCAAGAACAAGAUCAAGACCCUCAUAUUCCUGAGCAAGAUCAAGAGCAAACUCUUCCGUAUAAUGAAUAUUCAAUCAUUGAGGCUCAAGAUCAAGCUCAAAGUCAUGAUCAAGAUCAAGAUCAACCCCAACCACAAGUGUCUUCAUCGUCAUCACUUCCUACUGAGCAAGAACCUGUGGUUGCAAAGAGAAGAGUGUCUCCAAGGCUAAGGCAAUCUCAAGGGCAAGCUUCUUCAUCAAGUCCAAAACCCAGUGAAGAAGAGCUUGACCGCAAAGAGCAAAAAGUGGCCGCCAAGCUGAAACAUCUUCAACACCUCACCGAGAACAUCUACGGAAGCAUCAAAAAAGGGGGUAACUACUCGUAGACGUUUGGCAAACUUUUGUGAACAUCACUCGUUUGUCUCUUGUGUUGAACCUCUUAAGGUGGAAGAUGCACUUGACGAUCCGGAUUGGAUAGAUACCAUGCAUGAAGAACUCAACAACUUCACACGCAACAAAGUGUGGACCCUUGUAGAAAGACCCAAGGAAUUUCAUAAUGUCAUUGGAACAAAGUGGAUUUUCAAGAACAAACAAGAUGAAUAUGGACAAGUAAUAAGGAACAAGGCAAGGUUAGUGGCACAAGGUUUCACCCAAGUUGAAGGUUUGGACUUUGGUGAAACUUUUGCCCCCGUUGCCCGUCUCGAAUCCAUUCGCAUCUUGCUUGCUUAUGCCUCUCAUCAUGAUUUCAAAUUAUAUCAAAUGGAUAUUAAGAGCGCAUUUCUUAAUGGUCCUCUUAAGGAGUUGGUGUAUGUCAAGCAACCUCCCGGUUUUGAAGACCCUGAUCAUCCCUCUCACGUUUAUGAACUGCAUAAGGCACUCUAUGGACUCAAACAAGCACCUCGUGCUUGGUAUGAUCACCUUACGGCGUUCCUAAGCGAGAAGGGGUUCCAGAUUGGGGUAAUAGAUUCCACUCUCUUUACGAAGAGGGUAAAAGGAGAGUUGUUUGUCUGCCAAAUAUAUGUUGAUGAUAUUAUCUUUGGGUCAACUAACCAUGCUAUUAACAUUGAGUUUGAGAAUCUUAUGACUAAGGAAUUUGCGAUGAGCAUGAUGGGAGAGUAGAAGUUCUUUCUCGGCUUUCAAGUGAAGCAAUUGAGAGGCGGAACCUUCAUCAAUCAAUCUCGUUAUAUCCAAGACAUGCUCAAGAGAUUCAAAAUGCAAGAUGUCAAGCCAAUGAAGACACCCAUAGCCACAAAUGGUCAACUUCAUCUUGAUCCAAAUGGUAAAGAAGUGGAUCAAAAGGUAUAUCGCUCUAUGAUCAGUUCCUUGCUUUACCUUUGCGCAUCUAGGCCAGAUAUUAUGUUGAGUGUGUGUAUGUGUGCAAGAUUUCAGUCCGCUCCUAAGGAGAGCCACUAUUCGGCAGUGAAAACGAUCCUUCGAUAUUUGGUUCAUACCCCAAACUUGGGCCUUUGGUAUCCCAAGGGAUCAUCAUUUGAGUUAAUGGGUUACUCGGAUUCGGAUUGGGCCGGAGACAAGGUUGAUCGCAAGUCCACAUCCGGUUCAUGUCAAUUCCUAGGGAGAUCGUUGGUAAGUUGGUCUUCAAAGAAGCAAAAUUGUAUAUCUCUCUCCACAGCCGAAGCCGAGUAUAUUGCUGCCGGAAGUUGUUGUGCCCAAUUAUUAUGGAUGAGGCAAACUUUGAUGGAUUACGGUGUCAAAUGUGACAAAGUGCCUCUUUGGUGUGACAAUGAAAGUGCCAUCAAGAUCGCCGAGAAUCCGGUUCAACAUAGCAAGACCAAGCAUAUUGAGAUUCAUCAUCAUUUCAUUAGAGAUCAUGUGGCCAAGGGAAACAUUGAGUUACUCCAUGUCAACACCGAGAGUCAACUAGCAGACAUCUUCACCAAGCCCAUUGACGAAGCAAGAUUCCGCGAGUUAAGGCAUGAGCUAAAUAUCAUGGAUAUUAGUAACUUCGGAUGAAACUCUCUCUCACACACACAUACUCAUGUACUAUCUUGCUUAGAUGUAGGCACAUGUCUAGGGGGAGCUAGCUCAACUCAUGAGCUAUCUUAUCCUAGAAGUGCAUAAAACAAACACAAUCUUUCACAUAAGCCACUUUAGGUGGUACUUGUGCUUCAAAGAUGAGUAUUGGUCUUGGGACCAAGGUUCAUAUCUUCGCGGUGCCAUACCAAGUAAACUCAAACAUGGUGGCCUCGGCCAUCGCCCUCGCUUGAGGGUUGUGUCCGUGUUUGUUUCGCUUGUGUGGUGUGUUGUUUCUUUUCUUUUCUUUGGUUGGUUCUCCUCGCUUCUCGUUUGGUACAAGUGCUCCACAUAUACCCUUUCCAUAGUGAUAGGUCUUUCCUCGCAGCGUAUUCAGAAAUGUAGACCGAGUGCUUUGUGAAGUAGGGGUAAGAGUAUUCACUUAGCCUUGUAUUUAAAAAUCCACUCAUGUCAAAGUUCCUGAAUACCCCGUGCGCACGGGCCUGUACCGUGCACAUGGGCCCCCGUGCGCACGGAGCUCACUUAGCCCGUGCGCACGGGGUCUGCGGUUUCUGGUCCUAAGGAGGUGGGGCGUGGGGGGGCUCGGGUUCUUUUCCACCCAUUCGCCCCCUCCACUCCCCAGGAAGCCUCCAGCGCCGCCGCCGCCUCCACUUGUCGGAGCUCCUCCGGGCUUCGUCGGGGUUCCUCCUUCGUGGAUCUGCAUCCAGAUGGGGUCCUCCUCCGGUUGGUCUUGUCCCCUUGAUCUAUUUCCUUGAGUUCCUAUCUUUUGUUCUAGCUUUAGGGUUUCUUUGCUCCCUAGAUUCGUUUGGCCUCAACUAGCUUGUAGAUAAGUCUAGUGCUUAGAUCCUUUGGUUCCUCUGCUACACCCACUCCCGGAGUUCAUUCUGGUAGUGGUUGUCGCUGGGAGACCCUCAUGUCCACGGGGUGUUUGACCCCCAUGCGCACGGGGCCCCAUGCCCAUGGUCUGGUACCAUGCGCACGGGCCCCCGUGCCCACGGGGUCUAAACCCCUGUGCACAUGGACUAUCCAGGAACUUUUGCCUAGAUUUUUGUCUAUUUCCUUGCCAUUCAUCUUGCACUUGUACUCUUUUGUGUAUCGUGCUUUGUGUUGUUGGGUGUUUGCGUGUGUUUCAGACUCUGCCGACAAGAGGUCUGAGCUUCGUCGCAAGCGUGCAAAAGGAGGAUCAAAGGACUUCACCCUUGCUCGUCGUCAGCUGUAUGAAGGCAUGGGUCAGGGGUCUGGGUCAGGUCAGGGCCGUGCUCGCCGUGCAGCCUCAAAGCGGCCCGUUGUUGAGGCUUCCGAUGAUUCUGAGGAAGAAUAUGACUCACAAGAUGAUGAGAUAGAAGAAGAAGAUGAUCGUGGUGAGGAAGAUGAAGAAGAGGAAGAGGAGUCUAGUCCGGAGCAAGCCAUUCCGGGAAGGCGUGACCUCCGGAAUAUGCCUCUUGUCAAGUGGACCAAGCCAGAGAUCUGGGCUGAGAGACAGAGCCAUCCGUAUGUUAAGGCCACGAGUAUGGGAGUGGAUCCCCGUUUCAAGAAUGGGUUUCAGCAAAGGAUCUAUCAUGAGCUUCUUAUGACCAAGUCAAAGAAGUUUGCUCCUCACAAGCAAGUCAACACUGAGAGUUUGCGCGACAAUGAUCAUCUGUAUCCCGGUGUGUACUCCGCUCUUGGACGACUGGGUCUGAUUCCGUUUGUCACCUUCAACCACCCCUACAAUGAAGAUCUAGUGAUGCAGUUCUUUGCCACUCUGUACUUCUCCAAUGAUUGUGCUCGCACCCUCACAUGGAUGUCCGGAACGCAUCAAUGCUCAGCUCCUAUGGCAAAGUUCUCCGAGAUCAUUCCCUACCCGUUCAUGGAUGAAGAGACUGUUUCUGAUGAGUUUGGCAUUGUUCGGGAAAGUGGGCAGCACACUAAGGAUGAGAUUGCCUUUGCUUACAAACAAGAGAAGUCGUUUGUCACUGGGUCAAUCAAAGACCUCUUGCCCCUCUAUGACACCAUGAGCCAUAUCCUGCAGUAUACCCUCACUCCAAAGGCCGGGGAUUCCCAUAACAUUCGGAGCUCCAUGCUUGAUGUCUUUGUGUAUCUUCAUCAGAAGAAGAAAGUGGAUGUUCUGGAUUUCAUGUACUACGAGCUGCAUCAGUGUGUACAAGAGAACAAGUCUUUGAUCUAUGCAACAUUCAUACAGGCGUUGAUUCAGACCGUCUGUCCAGCAAAGUACAUCGCCAGCUUCAAGACUACUGUUCCCAAGCGCAACUCCAACUGGACCCCAGCUGCUCCUGCUCCCUAUGUGCCCAUCAAGAAGGGGCGCAACCCUAGGCCUGAGGAUCGUGCUACUUACACUCCAGUCAUGUCCUCUACUGCACGGAUCCCUCGUGGUAAGGCCAAGUCUGUUGGCUCUGAGGCCAUCUUUGCCAAGGGAGAGAAGAAGUCGCUGUUCAAGACCUUGAGCAACAUGUUCAAGAUGUGUUAGUCGAUUCAGCGUCGUCAGAUCAAGGAAAUCAACAAGGAGAAGCUUGUUCGGCAUGAGCAGAAGGUAGCAAGGGCUGCUGCUGGUGAGGAGGUCGGUCCAGGUUUAGAGGACAUCGACAGUGAGGCCACUGCUUGGUCUUUCCCAAUGGCCGGGUGGCGUUUUGAUGAUGAUGAUGAUGCCUCGAGUGCUCCUCCUCUUGUCUAGUGGGUCUCGUGUCGGCAUUUGUCUCCUUUUUGUUGUCUUGAUGACAAAGGGGGAGAAGUGGUGUGUGUGUUUGUGUGUUUGUGGGUGUGUGGUGCGUUCGUGGGUGUGUUGAGAUCUCAAGCCUCUUGUUUCUCGUUGUUGGUUGGUUUUAGUUGGCUUGAGAUACUCUUAUUUACCUUCCGUCUGUGUGGUUGUGUGUCUCUAGAUUUAUUAGUGAACCUUGCCAUUAUCCUCUUAUGCUUAUUGGGUCUCACAUUAUUUGCUCACCACACUGUGUCAUGAGAUCUAGGCACCGUUAUAGGUUUAUUUUGAUGAAUCUCAUGACUUAACAAUAAUGAUCUUGGUCGAACCUCCUAUGGGUGUACUAGAUGCAUUCUGGUUUUCGGGCACACAUAUAGGGGGAGCUAUCAUGAUCAUUAUUUGUUCCAUGGCUUUCUAUCUGUUUAUCCUCUUUGCCAUGCUCUAACCACGUUGUCAUCAAUGCACCAAAAGGGGGGAGAUUGAAAGUGCUAAUGGCACUUAUGCUAUGUUUUGGUGUGAUGACAAUGUGGUUAGUUGAACUAAUAUCGGUUGCUAAAGUUUAUCUCAGGUUAUUGGUUCUAAGUGCCCGUGAUGGAGAUGUGCGACCCCCCCAUUUCAAAAAGGACAAAGGCGUGGUCUUUUGACGCUUCGAAGGUUUAGUUUUGGUUUGCAUCGAGUCGUAGGAAAGACCGCACUAUUAAGAGGGGUUUGUGUGGAUAAAUGUCGUGUGGGAAUGCCUUUGCCGAGCCUUACUCUCUUACCCUUCCCACUCCGACCACCUAAAAAGAACCUAGUGUGUGUGAUGUGGUACUCAGAAAGUUGCAACAGAAAGUUACCGGGUACCCCGUGCGCACAGGGUCUUUUGACCCCCGUGCGCACGGGGUACUACGUAACUCUCUGGGUACCCCGUGCGCACGGGGUCCUAUGUAAACUCUCUGAGUACCCCGUGCGCACGGGGUCCAACGGGCAGAAAUCCCCACCAGCCCAUGAACACUAUUUAAAGGCCCUUCUUCCACCUCCAACCUUCAACCAUAAUGUCUUGUUGAGCUCCACCAUUGCUACACCCCAUUUUGCUCAAUACUCUCAAUCCCUCCACCCAAACUUGUUGAAACUUUGGGGAUUGGGAGAGAAAGACCUGAUCUACAACUUGACCAAACCAAAUUGCGUUCCUCGAAACAUUUCUUCCCCAUUGACUUGUUACUGUUGGAGCUUGGGCUCCUAGGCGGUUAGAGGUUCCUCCGGAAGCUUCCUUGCUUGUGGUGUGCUCCGGAGAAGUUUGUAAAGGUGUGGUGGUCGCCUUCAAGACCAACCCCGAGUGUUUCGUGGCUCAUCCGUUGGGGGUGACUCGAAGGAGAAUACGGUGAGCCUUUGGUGGCGUUCCGCAAGCUUUGGUUCCGGCACCGUUCCAAACGGAGAUUAGCUCUUCCCCAAAGAAGAGUGAACUUCGGGUUAAAAUCCGUGUCCUCGUCUCACUUGUGGUUAAUCCUUUCCCGCACCUUUCUUUAUUGUUGUAUGCUUGUUGGCUUGCUAAGUAGUUUGUUGCCUAGCAUAUCUAUCUUGGAGCUUGCUUGUCAUAUAGGUUGCAUUCACCUAGUUGCAUAUCUAGUGAACUCUUUUAUCCGCUAAGCCUUAAAAUCUACAAGAAAGAUUAAAAUUUGUAGUCUCCUAUUCACCCCCCCCUCUAGUCGACCGUAUCGAUCCUUUCAUCUGCGCUUAGAGGCCCAAUGAAGCCUACAAGAAUAAACUUGUGCAGUAGACAUCAACCGUACGCCGACGACGCACAGAGCCGCACUACUCCCCGUCCCCCACCCCCACCCCACGCAGCACCGUCCCCCUCCUCGUCACCGUUCCUGAGCCCAGCGGUGAUGCUGAAAUACUGGUUCUUCAUGCCAGCAGGCGGAGGCGGUGGAAGUUCCUCGUCGGGCAGUUCUUGGCGCCGCUGCCCUCGCUCUUCGGGCCCAACGGCAUCCACUAUAGCAGAAUCCUCCAACAAUGAGAAGAUAGUCAUCUCCUUCGGCGACGAGGAGGACCAGCAGCAGCGGCCCGUCUCCUCAUGGAGGCCGCUCUGACGGACAAAUUUCGUCCGUCAGAUGAUGAUCAUGACGGAGUGCUCGCUCCGUAAGAUGGGCCCGACGCCAACAUCGCCGGCACGCGUGAAGGAGGAGCCACCCUCCCCGAUAUGCGUCUAUGUGAAGCAAGAGCCGGCAUUCCCACUCCUGCGGGUAAGGGACGAACCCGCGCCCUGUCGCUCAACUGCAGCCUCUUCAAUGGAGGUCGCGUGAAGGAGGAGCCCGUGUCCCCCAACGCAUCCGCCAUGGCAAGGACGAGCCAGUGUCGCCCCCACCGCACAGUCGGUAUGCCCGCAUUAACGGGCCCUCGUCGCCGCCACCGCCGCCCGAUAAAGGAAGAGCUAUCGCCCGUGAUCACGAGGUGCGUGGCCGCAUCCUCCACUACCUCAGAGGAGGCGGUUACGACGGUGCCUUGGGCUUGAGGGCCGUCAUAUCCAACGUGGAGCACGCGGCGAGGUAGCAGGCGCAGUACGACAGGCGCAAUGCCGGCCGCCGUUACGUGUUUGCCAAGACCGACGUGACGCCGAAAUGGGUCUGCAACGACCCGGACCUCCCCGUCGCGUGGGCACUCAACUGUUCUGUCACCACCAUGGAGACGACUGCCAGGCGUAGCCGUCGCCUUGAUGACGAGCUUGGCAAGAUUGACGAUGAGCGGUCGCUUAGCGACUGCUCCACCCACGCCGCCAGGGCUUCACCACGUCGUCGACACUGGCCAAGGCAGCCCUCCGCACUGAGCAACAAGAGGUGCAGCGGCUCCUCCGCGAGCGGCCGGUAGUUGCCGGACAAGACUGUCGCGGCCCUCCGGCACCCUUGCACCACUGGAGGGACGAGGUGACACAGACAGCGACAGCGGUGCGGCAGGACAGGGCGGCCACGCGUACAAGGUGGUCAUUCGCUAUAGGGUUUAGGAUUUUUUAUAUAGUUUUUAGUGAAACGGUCAAAAUAUCACUCGUUUUAUAUAAAUUAUAUCCGAACUUUAAUAAAAUAUGUAGUGUUUGCAUGAAUAUUGCCCGGUAUGUUGAAACCCGGCUUGAAAUGUAUAUGGGUAGCGUUGGAAAGCCGGUUUCCAUAUCAGUGUCGGUGAACUGGUCUCCUCUGCCAGUAGACGGGUGCCGAAACAAAUCUAUAUGUCAACGUUGAAGAUACCCUAAAGGCGAGUUUGCAAUCAGAAGAGAUAAUUAAAUGUCAUUUCCAACUCCAAUUGAUCCCUCAUUUGGCACGAUGCGUGCUCUUAACCACGACCACCUGCCCCACAUGUGAAAAACAAAGGAAAUCGGACACGAUGCGUGCUACCAAAUGAAUUCGAGACGAGACCCAUUCCGUUUUAUGACUCAGGAGGUGUUUGUUUUCAGGGAUUUUUUUGCGUAGAGACUAGAAAAAGUCCUUUUUAAAGACUUUUUAUUAAACGGAAGAGACUUUUUAAGGACUAAACUAGGCAUUUGGGAUUAAAUGAAGAAGACUCUUAAGGAGAGUUUUUUUGAGACUUUUCCAACAAUGCCCCUCUAUGCACUCAUUGGCCCGCUACCCCAUGAUGUUAUUUGAUUGCUAUUUUUCUAUAUGCUAGGGGCAACGUGGUCAUUUAAUAACCUCUAGGAAGGGACUAAGGACUUUUUAGUCUCUGAAAACAAACAGGAAGGGACUUUUUAGAGAGUAGGGACUUUUUAAUUGGGACUAUAAAAAGUCCUAAGACUAGAGAACCAAACACCACCUUAUUAGGAACAGCCCAGUCGACCGUUCACUCACUUUCCACGCCGUGAAACUACCAGUCCGCGAUGGUUUACGUAAGGUUAUGAACUCAUCUGACGUGAGACUAUUUGAUUGGAUUAAAAAAAAAAUUAGGUCCAUCCCAUCUAAAAAUCAGGAAGGGGCAAAUAUAGAUUGGAUGAAAGUUUACAUGACAGCUACGUAGCCCUUUGUAAGUUUAGGAUUUUCGGUCCACGAUUUCUUUUCCAACGGUACGUAGGUCCGCCGUGAAAGGAACCUACCUAGCCAGCAGCUCUCUAGAGAUGAUUCCUGCGGCGACGUUCAAGCAGGCCUCAUGCGUGACGCAGGCCUCCCGUUGACUGGAGCAGGAUCUAGCCGCAAAGGUCUCCCCAUGACGAAAUGAUCUUGUCCAUUCCAGCUUAUCCAUCGUCUUCAAACGUCACUAUGGAUCUCACUAAGGGCCUCUUUGAAGCUUUUUUUUGUUGUUGCAAAAAAUGAUCGAAUCUAUUAUAAAAAUUCAUCUGAAGUAUAGAAAAUCUUAAACAUAAUAAAGACUACACCGAGAUUUUGAGAUCAUUGAACGAACAUAAUAAAGACUACACUAAGAUUUCGAGAUCAUCGAACGACCAUUAUUAUCGUCAGAUCAAGCCGCUAACACGUUGUUGUCGCCGCUCCCUUAUCGGAGCCAUCUUGACCUUGUCGAUUAUAGCUGGAAAGUCUGGACCAGCGCACAAUUGUCACCAUUGAACCCUUUCAUAGAUCCGAAACACUUGACACCAAAUCUGGCCACAUAACGAUAAACUCUAACUUCACCGGCUAAGAAGACAACAGGAAUCUACGUCAGAGCUCCGUCGAUUACGUCCAUAUAGAUGAACUAGAGGAGAAUCGAAGUCCGAAAGACAAACUUGAAAAAGAAGAGACGAAUCCAUCCAAGUGCAUGUGAGGACUAAAAAAUCCUAAUAAGCUGCUAACCAGAGUGGAGGCACCGGAUUCCCCUCUCCGUCAUCGGCCGCCAGAGCGGCAGACAGAAGGUGCUGGAACUUAGUCUAUUUUGGACAGCCCAAUAACUAUUUCAGAAAUUCCUAAUAAAUCCUAGAGGCCCACUUAGCUCAUUUGUGCAAGGCAAGGGAUACUACUAAAGUUUAGUCCCACAUUGCUAGUUUAGUGGGAGUUGGACCUCCUUAUAAGGGAGGUUUUUUCCCCACUUGUACGAGCAUGAGAACAAGAGGGAUAUCCACGCGCGCUCCUCCGCCGCCGCCCGCCUCGCCUCGUCACGACGCGCCGCGCCGCGGGUUGCGGGUUGCGGGAAUGAGCCGAGCCGAUAUCUAAAUUUUUGCCACGCACGACGGGUAUACGAAAGGUCACGUGGGAGUUGAAACGUUUUCUGUAGUGGAUACUGAAUUCGAACGGCGCGCCUCUUCGGCCGCUGCCUGUUCGCUUCGUCUCCCUUCAUUGCUUCACCUCCUGCCGCAGCCUCUUCGCGUCCUUCUCCUGUGCCUAUAUAAGAGAGGUUGCUCCUCUCUAGAGAGACACACUAGAAGAUCCCCUUCCUCUCGUCACAAAGUUCCUGAGCACUGCGCUGCUGCUACGAUCUUCCCCAUCCUGGUUUGCGGCGUGCACCGCAGGUCGGGACAUUAGGCCUCCGAAACCGCACCUUUUGAGUCCUGUACGGGAGAAGGGUGAUAAGGUUUUUGGGGAGCGCUCAGCGCGACUACUGGCUGCUUCAUCACGGACGAUCCGGUCGCCGACGACUUCUUCCCCGACGUCCACGACCUCCUCGACGACAUGGUAGGCGAGGACACCGACCCCAAGUCCAGUGCUUCUGCUGCUGCUGUCCCGUACGUGUUCUUGUCUUUCCUGUUAAAGGCUCUGCCGCAGUUCCUUGUUCUAGUCCUUGUCCUACACAUGUUAGGUUCUACUUCAUAUAUGCUACUUGCUAUACUGUCUGCUUUAGAUAUGAUAGGCUAUGGUUCAUAUAUGCAGAAGCUAUUUUUCUUCUCUCUGUCAGAACGCAUGACUUGUUUUAUCUCUACUAUAUUAGUCAUGCUUUAUCUAGUAUUUCUGUUAAUAAAAUCAUUCGGUAAAUUGCUCAUAUUUCCAACAAUCCAAAAACCUUAUCAUAGGCAAUUUACCCCAAGUGGUUUUGCUGCUUCCCUGAGACCUCCUAUGUUUGAGGGUAUUCACUAUAAGAGGUGGCGCGUGAGAGCAGUCUUAUGGUUUCUAACCAUGAGUUGCUAUGAUGCCACUCUCGGCAAACCUGAAGGAGAGCUUGAUGCUCAACAGGCACAAGCUUUUCAGAAAAUGGAUACUCUGUUUAAGGCUGCUCUCUUGAGUGUUCUUGAUGAGAACAUAGUUGAUGCUUAUGCGUCAAUUGAUAAUGGAAAAGAUAUGUGGGAUGCACUCGAGGCCAAGUUUGGGGUCUCGGAUGCUGGCACUGAGCUAUACAUCAUGGAGCAAUUCUAUGAUUACAGGAUGACUGAAGAGCGCUUCGUGGUUGAGCAAGCUCAUGAGAUACAGUCAUUUGCUAGAGAACUUGAGCACUUCAGUUGUAUGCUACCGGACAAGUUUGUUGCCGGAGGUAUCAUCACUAAGCUUCCUCCUUCAUGGAGGAACUUUGCUACCUUGCUGAAGCAUAAGAGGCAGGAGUUUUCCGUCCCGGAUCUCAUUGGCACUCUUGAUGUGGAAGAAAAGGCGAGAGCAAAGGACACACGUGCUCGAGGUAUUGAGGGAGGAUCUAGUGCCAAUGUGGUACAGAAGCAGAACUUCCAGCCCCACAAGUUCAAGAACAAGGGCAAGUUUGAUGGAAAAGCAAAGUUUGAUGGGAAGAACAAGGUUGUGCAACACACAAACUUCAAGAAGAAGAAUGGCAAGAAGAAAUGUGCUUGUCAUGUGUGUGGGGAUCCUGAUCAUUGGGCUCCUAGUUGCCCUAAUCGCUAUGACAAGCGUCAUCCUGGGAAAGGCGGCAAGACUGCUAAUGUUGUCAUUGGAGACACUGACAUGAAGGAUGCUGGGUAUGGUAUAUUUCCCACUAUUCUUUCAGUAUGUCAUUCUCCUGACUGGUUGAUUGACACGGGUGCUAAUGUGCAUGUAUGCGGUGAUAUUUCCAUGUUUUCGUCUUAUCAGACCGCAGGGACUUCAACCGUGCUGAUGGGCAACGGUUCAAGUGCUUCUGUUCGUGGUGUUGGCACGGUCGAUCUGAAUUUUACUUCGAGGAAGAUCGUGCGGCUGAAGAACGUGCAUUAUGUCCCCUCCGUCAAUAAAAAUCUUGUUAGUGGAUCUCUUCUGUGUAGAGAUGGCUACAAGCUUGUCUUUGAGUCGAAUAAAUUUGUAAUAUCCAAGUAUGGAACCUUUGUUGGUAAAGGCUAUGAGUCAGGAGGCUUGUUUUGUUUAUCCUUAUUAGACGUUUGCAAUAAAGUUGUUAAUCAUAUUUGCAACAAUAGUGAAUCCAAUGUGUGGCAUUCACGUCUUUGUCAUGUUAACUUUGGUUGCAUGUCGCGACUAGCGAAGUUGAACUUAAUCCCUAGUUUCACCACUGUCGAGGGAUCUAUGUGUCAAGUGUGUGUGCAAGCUAAGCAACCUCGUAAGUCUCACACGACUGCGGAAAUAAGAAAUCUUGCACCACUAGAGCUCAUACAUUCAGAUCUAUGUGAAAUGAAUGGUGUGUUGACAAAAGGUGGAAAGAAAUAUUUCAUGACGUUAAUUGAUGACUCCACUAGAUACUGCCGUGUGUAUCUUCUGAAGUCUAAGGAUGAGGCUUUGAACUUUUUCAAGAUCUACAAAGCUGAAGUGGAAAACCAACUUGAUCGAAAAAUCAAGAGGCUUAGGUCCGACCGUGGUGGAGAGUAUUUUUCCAAUGAGUUUGAUGCCUUUUGUGCAGAACAUGGUAUAAUCCAUGAGAGGACUCCUCCCUACUCACCUCAGUCAAAUGGGAUGGCUGAAAGAAAGAACCAUACUCUAACUGAUUUGGUUAACGCCAUGUUAGAUACAUCGGGUGUCUCCAAGGCAUGGUGGGGGGAGGCGAUAUUGACAGCAUGUCAUGUCCUGAACCGAGUCCCCACAAAGAACAAAGAGAUAACUCCAUUCGAGGAAUGGGAGAAGAAAAGGUUAAAACUCUCUUAUCUGUGAACAUGGGGUUGUUUGGCAAAAGUCAACGUUCCAAUUCCAAAGAAGCGGAAACUUGGACCAAAGACUGUGGAUUGUGUUUUCCUGGGAUAUGCUUUUCAUAGCAUUGGCUAUAGAUUCUUGGUUGUAAAAUCUAAGGUACCUGACAUGCAUGCCGGUACGAUCAUGGAGUCGAAUGAUGCGACUUUCUUUGAAGAUAUCUUUCCCAUGAAGGAUAUGGCUACCUCAUCUAAUCAGGAGAUGCCUAGUUCAUCGAAUCAGGAACCAGUUACAAUUACCGAACCCACAAUUUCGAUGGAACACUUUGAAAGUCCUGUGGAGGAGAACAAUGAAGUUCCUAUUAGGAGUAAGAGACAGAGGACUGCAAAGUCCUUUGGUGAUGAUUUUCUUGUGUACCUCAUAGAUGACACUCCCAGUUCUAUUUCAGAGGCCUAUGCAUCUGAAGAUGCUGACUACUGGAAGGAAGCGGUUCGUAGCGAGAUGGAUUCCAUCUUGGCAAAUGAAACUUGGGAGAUAACUGAUCGUCCUUAUGGGUGCAAACCUAUAGGAUGCAAAUGGGUAUUCAAGAAAAAGCUUAGGCCUGAUGGUACUAUUGAAAAGUACAAGGCUCGGCUCGUGGCUAAGGGUUAUACCCAAAAGGAAGGUGAAGACUUCUUUGAUACUUACUCACCUGUGGCUCGACUGACCACUAUUCGAGUUCUGCUUUCACUAGCUGCCUCGCAUGGUCUUCUCAUUCAUCAAAUGGAUGUUAAGACUGCUUUCCUAAAUGGAGAGUUGGACGAGGAAAUUUAUAUGGAACAACCAGAUGGGUUUGUACUAGAUGGUCAGGAAGAGAAAGUGUGCAAGUUGCUGAAGUCUUUGUACGGACUUAAGCAAGCAUUCAAAUAGUGGCAUGAGAAGUUUGAAAGAAUUUUAACAGCUGCAGGCUUUGUUGUGAAUGAAGCUGACAAAUGUGUGUACUAUCGCCAUGGUGGGGGCGAGGAAGUUAUACUGUGCUUGUAUGUUGAUGACAUACUGAUUUUCAGAACCAAUCUGAAUGUUAUUAAGGAGGUCAAGGAUUUCCUAUCUCGUUGUUUUGAGAUGAAGGAUUUAGGAGUGGCUGAUGUCAUUCUGAACAUCAAGUUGUUGAGAGACGAUGAUGGUGGGAUUACAUUACUUCAAUCUCAUUAUGUGGAAAAGAUCUUGAGUCGCUUUGGCUAUAGUGACUGCAAUCCCUCUCCAACACCAUAUGAUGCUAGUGUGUUGCUUCGAAAGAAUCGAAGAAUUGCUAGAGACCAAUUGAAGUAUUCUCAGAUUAUUGGCUCGCUUAUGUACUUAGCCAGUGCUACAAGACCUGCUUGCUGUUAGCAAACUGAGUCGGUUUGUUUCAAAAUCAGGAGAUGUGCAUUGGAAAGCUCUAGAAAGAGUUUUGCGUUAUUUGAAAGGCACUGCAAAUUAUGGAAUUCACAACACCGGGCAUCCAAAGGUGCUUGAAGGGUAUAGUGACUCAAACUGGAUCUCAGAUGCUGAUGAGAUAAAGGCCACGAGCGGUUAUGUAUUCACUCAUGGAGGUGGCGCUGUUUCUUGGAAGUCUUGCAAGCAGACCAUCUUAACGAGGUCAACAAUGGAAGCAGAACUCACAGCACUAGAUACAGCUACGGUUGAAGCAGAUUGGCUUCGCCGACUCUUGAAUGAUUUGCCGGUUGUUGAGAAACCUGUACCGGGUGUCCUUAUGAACUGCGACAAUCAAACUGUGAUCACGAAAGUGAGCAGUUCAAAGGAUAACAUGAAGUCAUCAAGACACGUUCAGAGAAGGUUAAAGUCUGUCAGGAAAAUGAAAAACUCCGGAGUUAUUGCGUUGGAUUAUAUCCAAAUGUCUAAAAAUCUGGCAGAUCCUUUUACCAAGGGUCUAUCACAUAAUGUGAUAGAUAAUGCAUCGAGGGAGAUGGGUAUGAGACCCACAAUAUGAGUUGUUCACAGUGGUAACCUAUUCUUUAUGAUCGGAGAUCUCGUGAAUUAGAUGUGGAAGACAAGCUGUUGGUCAACUGAGAGGAGAGUAUUCUUACUAUUCACAAUACCACUCCAUGAAGAUGCAAUACUCUCCUAAUCUGCAUGGCAGGUUGAUGUAUAUCUUAAUGUGUUCUAAGUGGCUUAUUUAAGCAGAGUUGUUAUCCUGCAGAACAUCUUUUGAAGAACACACCUAUAUGAGUCUGAUUGUCAAACGUCGCAAUCUAUGAGAGUAUGGUUCUCUCUAGUAAACUCAUGAAAGGUCACGGAGUAUGACGCAUAAGCUCCACCCGCGGGGAAGAUCCACGGUAGCCACGUAUCGGUCAAGGCUUUAUGUGAAGCUAGAUUCGCAGAAAACUUGCAGUUCAAGGCCCAGUCCACUGUUCAAGUUGCUUACUAGUGUAGCAUAGAGUUCUAGGUGAAAGUUCAACUUAACAGUCUCCACUGCAGUACCGGUAUAUAAAACAAUGUUUUGGAACCAAAGGCAAAUUUCUGUGUGCCUUUGGGAUCUGGUGGGGGAUUGCUGGAAUUUAGUCUAUUUUGGACAGCCCAAUAACUAUUUCAGAAAUUUCUAAUAAAUCCUAGAGGCCCACUUAGCCCAUUUGUGCAAGGCAAGGGAUACUACUAAAGUUUAGUCCCGCAUUGCUAGUUUAGUGGGAGUUGGACCUCCUUAUAAGGGAGGUUCUUUCCCCACUUGUCCGAGCAUGAGAACAAGAGAGAUAUCCACGCGCGCUCCUCCUCCGCCGCCCGCCUCGCCUCGUCACGACGCGCCGCGGGUUGCGGGAAUGAGCCGAGCCGAUAUCUAAAUUUUUGCCACGCACGACGGGUAUACGAAAGGUCACGUGGGAGUUGAAACGUUUUCUGUAGUGGACACUGAAUUCGAACGGCGCGCCUCUUCGGCCGCUGCCUGUUCGCUUCGUCUCCCUUCGUUGCUUCACCUCCUGCCGCAGCAUCUUCGCGUCCUUCUCCUGUGCCUAUAUAAGAGAGGUCGCUCCUCUCUAGAGAGACACACCAGAAGAUCCCCUUCCUCUCGCCACAAAGUUCCUGAGCACUGCGCUGCUGCUACGAUCUUCCCCAUCCCGGUUUACGACGUGCACCGCAGGUCGGGACAGUAGGCCUCCGAAACCACACUUUUUGAGUCCUAUACGGGAGAAGGGUGAUAAGGUUUUUGGGGAGCGCUCAGCGCGACUACUGGCUGCUUCAUCACGGAUGAUCCGGUCGCCGACGACUUCUUCCCCGACGUCCACGACCUCCUCAACGACAUGGCAGGCGAGGACACCGACCCCAAGUCCAGCGCUUCUGCUGCUGUUGUCCCGUACAUGUUCUUGUCUUUCCUAUUAAAGGCUCCGCCGCAGUUCCUUGUCCUAUACAUGUUAGGUUCUACUUCAUAUAUGCUACUUGCUAUACUGUCUGCUUUAGAUAUGAUAGGCUACGGUUCAUAUAUGCAGAAGCUAUUUUUCUUCUCUCUGUCAGAACGCAUGAUUUAUUUUAUCUCUACUAUAUUAGUCAUGCUUUAUCUAGUAUUUUUGUUAAUAAAAUCAUUCAGUAAAUUGCUCAUAUUUCCAACAGAAGGAAGGUAAAUCCACAGGCUUCCGAUUUAGUCUGGUUGAGAGAGUUUGCCCUUGCUGCCUAGAGUCGGGGAAGGAAAUAAGAGGGUCGUGCGCCUUUUUGAAGUUUGCUACGCAAGACUGUAAAAACAUGGUAACGGGGGAAACGCAUAAUUGAAUUUGAGUUUGCUUAAUCGCAUCACAAGAAAAGCAAAUGUUUCUUUGAAGGGGUUGGGGUGGAUGAUAAAUUUCCAAUAGAAUGAACAAUGGUGAUCUCGCUCUGUGCCUCUGUCCCUACUUUUCAACAAGGCAUGCCCAUUAUUGAGCCGGUCAAAGCUUUUUUGAGCCGGAGGGCAGGAACUUACAAUCUGGGACUUUGUCUAGACACCUCCGGUCUCCUAUAAGAUAGACCUCCGCUCCGUUCCCUCUCCCAUCCAAUCAGUUUCCAAGGUAAACCAAGCGGAGAGACCAAGGUAGACGACGAUGGCGGUGUUGGUGGAGCUGACCAAGGAGUACGGCUACGUGGUGCUCACCGUGGUCGCCUACGCCUUCCUCAACUUCUGGAUGAGCUUCCAGGUCGGCGCCGCUCGCAAGAAGUGCGUGUUUCUUCAUUGAUUUGCCCAUUUUUGCUCUGGAGAAUUUGAUUUUGGAGCUUGAUCGACGAUCCUGUGCCGCUGCUUGUUGUUCCAGGUACAAGGUGUUCUACCCCACCAUGUACGCCAUCGAGUCGGAGAACAAGGAUGCCAAGCCCUUCAACUGCGUCCAGGUCUGUCCCCAUCGCCCUCUCCGUCCGCUGAUUUCGAACAAGAGUUAGCUAAAUUCCCGUGGACUUGUGUUGUGGCGCUGCAGAGGGGGCACCAGAACUCGAUUGAGAUGAUGCCGCUCUUCUUCGCCACGCUACUGCUCGGUGGCCUGCAGCACCCGGUCAUCGCCGCCGUGCUGGGGCUCCUCUACACCGUCGCCAGAUUCUUCUACUUCAAGGGCUACGCCACCGGCGUCCGGGAAAGCCGCCACAAGCUUGGGUAUGUUUGCUUUUCGGUCAGCGAUGAUUCAGAUGAGGAUGGCGUCCAAAUCAGAUCACCAUGUGGACGUGCACAAGCAAUAGAGACCCACUUGAUUUCCAGCAUGUUUUACUACUAGUUUCUUAGGAAAUUCUUAGUCCUGGGAAUUUUACAUGCCAUUUGAUUUCGUUGAUAUAUGAUCCUAGUACUCCCUAUGAUCUUUUUUAGUCUGCAUAUGAGUUUUGACCGGAGAUGAAGUAUCUCUACUGUGACCAAAUACAUAGAGAAAAUUAUCAACAUUCACCAUGCCAAGUCAAUAUUGUUAGCUUCAUUAUGAAAUGUAGUUUCAUAGUAUACAUAUUUGGCAUUGUAAAUGUUGAUAUUUUUUAAUAUAAAUUUGGUCAAACUCUACAAUGUUUGACUUGACCAAAAUCUAAUGCUAGUCAUAUUGGGGAGUAACUUAGACUAGUGUCAUGCAUAUGACACUAGUGUUUGUUACUACCUUCAUAGUGUAAGGUAACAUACAAGUAGUAUCAUAGAUGAUAGCAUUUAUUACAUCAUAGAUUCAUUUUGCUUUGGGUUGCGUUAUGUUACAGUAACCUAUUAUGUUACCUCGUUAACUCUAUACCACAUAAGCAAACUUGUUUUGAAAUGCGCUAUGUUACUUGUUAAGUUACUCGCACUAUGACCAGCCUAAUACACGAAGUAAAAAAGACCGGAGGAAGUCUUAGUCAACCACACUCAACUCAUUAAUGCAGUGAGUAGGUCAGAACAAGUUCUCGGCAUGGUGCAAUUCAUAUAGGUGAACCUUGGUAGGUACCGGUAUGUGAAGAUUCAUUCUUAUCUCAAAAGAAAAGGGCGAGAUGGAGAUCCAUUCGCAUUGCAUCAUAAAGUAGGGCCAUGAAUUUUUUUUGAACCCCUCAAAGUUUAUUGCUCAUCAAAUGAGUUACAUCAUGUAGUACAACGGACAACAAGAACCAGCGUGGGUCACCAUCCCAAAUUAAAUCUAACUUAAGAUCAUAAGAAAUUUUUGCCCAUUGAUGGGCAUGAUAAUUGGAUGUGCUGGUGCAAUCCUACCUAAGCUUAUGUCCUAUGUCAACCACUCCGGUUUCAUGCAUGGUAACUAGGAGCAAAGUCGUGAGCUCUGAAUUGAGUGAAAAAUGGUUGACUUGAACAAAAUUUGCAGCUUGUGAUGCCGAAUAACAUGACCAAAUGACAAAUACUAGAAGGAUUUCAUUCUCUUUUUUGUCCAGUCAGUUCUCAUUUUUCGUCGAAGCGGUUCUGAUCUUGUCGAUUUCCUUUUCUCUUUGGUGAACUCUGCAGGAGUCUCAACUACCCGGCGAUAUUCGGACUGAUCAUCUGCACGGCGUCGUUCGGCAUCAACCUUGUAAUCAGGGAGGCGAUCUAAGGUUCCGGACUGAUGUGCUUGACUUGAUAGGCGUUGUGACUCGAGUCAUUUAGACGUGGUGGUGUCUUUUAUAGUGUCCAAAAAUGUGUGUGCGUCUGUUUUACUCUUCGGAGAAUAAGCAUGGAUGGAGACGGUUUGUAACAUCGAGGUUUUAGGUUUUGCAGUACAACUUUUGAUUCGGUUUCGUAAAUCUCCUUGCUAGUUUCCUUGUGCGACAUCUGUGGACCAUGUUAUGCUCGUUCUUAUCUGCGGUCAGUUUUUGACGUUGAUGUUGUAUGCAGGGCCAGCCUAGGCCAUGGCAAAAGGUGCGGCGGCCUAGGACCCAUUUUAAAUAAGGACCCAAUACAUCGACAUUCUUAAAUAAAUUACAAAAAAAAAA
rnacentral:lncRNA from 1 species